rnacentral:lncRNA from 1 species
GUGAAGCUACGCGGAUCGUCGUCCGGGAGGGCUUUCAUGAGCUCGAUGGCUUUUGAAUAUUUUUCGAUGUAGGCUUUAUCCACGGUGUGAGCUGCCGGCCUGACGCGGAGUUUGGUAGGGGAGGGGAAUUUGAAGUCUACGAUUUUUUGGGACGUUGGCGGGCAACAGUUGGUCGGGACUGCUCCACUUGGAAAGUCCGCAGCUCCGCAUUUGGCUAGGUCAGGCGGCGACACUGGCUUUGCAACAGCGAAGGGGUCGCUGCCAAGACCAGCCACUCCACCGUAUAGGCUUCCGAGACCUAUAAGUACAUUUCUUCUGUCUAGGUUUACUGGAGAAGGGUUUUCAUGGUCGUGAUCGUUGGAGCUAGUGGAAGGGUUUUUGUUUUGGUCACUACUAUUAUUUGUGGCUUUGCAUGAGACAGCUUGUAAAUUGGAAUGCCUAGGGUUUCCAAAUGAGGAUAUUCGGUGAUACUUUUGGGAGAAAGGGGAGAGGAAAGUUGUGGGGAUGAUACUUGUGGCGGAGGUGACGAGUGGAGCUGACAUAGAAGCCAUGGUUACUUUUGACUCUGAAUAAUACGUUGUAUUGGCUUUGCUUUUAUAAUGUGUUCUAGGUUGUACUUUUCUUUGCACAGGUGGCAGGCCGUACACACGUGGUCGGUCCUUAAGGGUUUGACGAGGAAUACUACGUAGUCAUUUAGUACAGGACAACCAUACACUAUAGCAAGUGGCAUGUAUUUAGAGAUCGAGAGAGAAUUGGGUAAGGUUCACGAGGGAUUUGUAGUUUCAGAAGGUGAAUUGGUUUUGGUCUUCUUGUGUACCAAUAAUAUUUACUUAGUCAUUUAGUGCAGGACAACCAUGCACUAUAGCAAGUGGCAUGUAUUUAGAGAUCGAGAGAGAAUUGGGUAAGGUUCACGAGGGAUUGUAGUUUCAGAAGGUGAAUUGGUUUUGGUCUUCUUGUGUACCAAUAAUAUUUACUUAGUCAUUUAGUGCAGGACAACCAUGCACUAUAGCAAGUGGCAUGUAUUUAGAGAUCGAGAGAGAAUUGGGUAAGGUUCACGAGGGAUUGUAGUUUCAGAAGGUGAAUUGGUUUUGGUCUUCUUGUGUACGGCUGUGGGUCUGCUGUCCCGGACUCUCUGUCUCAUUUGUGUCUUAUUUUUUAUUUUUUCACACGUGUCUUUUACUUAACGUCAAAUCAUGAUAGCAAUGUUAUGCAAUUGGGAGCUAAACGACCGAUGCUUUUAUUUUUUAGUUUGCUUUUUUUCCAGAUCUGAUCAAAUCAUGAUAGCAAUGUUAUGCAAUUUUCAAGAGGGAAAGAUGCACCUGGGAGAGAAACGGUACGGUGACUUCUAAAUCACCGUCCAACAGAACAAUUCUCAGUAGAGACUACUAGAGAGAGAUGCACCUCACCAAUGAAAAAUUUAACUGCAAAAAUUCUGGGUAUUGGGUAAGGAAAUUCGGUGAUACUUUUGGGAGAAAGGGAAGAGAGAAGUUGUGGGGAUGAUACUUCUCGUGGAGGUGACGAGUGGAGCUGACAUAGAAGCCAUGGUUACUUGACUCUGAAUACUACGUUGUAUUGGGUUUGCAUAUAUAUAUAAUUAGGAUUGAAGGAUGUAGAGCUUAUUUUGUUAUGUAUUUUAACGAUUUAAGUGCUUAUCUUUUAGGUUUUCUCUUAAACAUCAUGUCUAUAAAAAAUCACCAAAAUUCAAACCAUAUGACCAUUAGAUCCAUAGUCAUUUUAGUGUUUAUUUGUAAAAUGUAUUCAUUCAUUUUCUUCACUACAAAUGAGUGAAUUAAUGAUUUUAGAAUUUGUCUAAUUUUUUACAUUGAUUAUUUAUGAAUGUUGAAUUGAAAUUUAGACGAUUCAAAAAUAGUUGAUAUGCAUUACAAAAUGAACUCCACAAAAUAAGUGUCAAAAUAUGUAUAAAAAAUGGACAGCGUGAAUGGCUUGGAAAUUGGAAUAGGUUUGAAAAUUGUGCUUUUUGUAGCAAAUUUUAGCAAAGUUUGCUUGGACUUUCACAACCGUAUAAAUUAAAGGGAAACUUGAUAUAACUCCAAUUUUUUGAGCCAAUAGUAGGAAUAGUCCAGUUUAUUAAAAUAAGUUCAAUUCUUUAAAUUUAAUUAUUUAGUUAUCAAUAAUUAUCUCUUAAAAGAAAAAACUUAUUGUAAAAAUCAAAUUUCUUCCUAAUUAUCUCUUUGAUUAUUUCUUUUUAUUUAUUUAUUUGUUAUUUCUUGUUCUUCCUCCUGCUUUAACCCAUUUAUAGAUUUUUUUUUUAAUUUUAUAAUCAACCUAUGUCACAGGUUAAUUGUAUUUAUCUACCUAUAUGACAUAUUCUUUUUCAUAGUCAACAUUUCACAGAUUAAUGUGUCUUGCUUGUAGAUAUAUUAUGUUUUUUUCUACCUUUUAGUUAGGUUUCAUAUCUCACUUAUAGGUAUAAUAUACAUUCAUAUAUUUGCUACUUGAGUUAGGGUAGAAUGUUUUGCAGAUAGAUUUAUGUUAGUAUAUUAAUUUUUUUUUGUUUAUAAGAUAUUAAUUAGAUAUUUUGGAGUUGAAAAAUGCAUAAUAUUAAAAGCUUUUAAUUGAUUUUUAAUAUUUUUAGAAAAUAUAAAAGGAGUAUAAAAGAAAUCAAAACAUAUAAUUAGAUAACGGGAGUCACUCCUAAAAACACUCUAUGUUUUUUGACCUGGAUCUUAAAGCCCCUAAAUUAAACUGUUCGCUUUGUUGGGAAAAAGAAGUGGCCCUAGUUUCCCUUUGAUUUUUCAAGCACGGUGGGAGACUGGUCAUAGUUUCUAGAUUGAUGCUCUAAUUCUAAUGUUAUACAACGCGUACGCUAUAAUAUUUUUAUCAAAAUAUUAGUUUUAGUGUUAUCAAAACAAUAUGUUAUUCUUACCAUGUUUUUGUAUCACAAUUAUAUACCACCUUAGAUGGUAUCUGAUGUGGACAGCCACAUCAUUUAAAUUAAUAAGCAUUUAAUUUCAAAAUGUUAAUCAAUAAUUAAUAAAAAGAUUGUUAAUUAAAUGAUGAUUGUGGUAUACAAGGAGUCUCCUUCUUCCUUCCUCUUUCCAUUCUGCUUUUUCUUCUUACCUCUUUUUUUUUUUUAAUGCCAGUUUUGUAUUGAUUUCUGUUGAUUUCCAUGAUUAUGGUCAAUCUUUAUAGAAUUUACUAGUAUGCCACAAUCACCAUUGAUUUCUAUCUCCAGACUCAUGCCCCGUAGCCCUAAUCCUCAUUCCCCUUCAAGUAUUUCUGUCUCCAAUCUUCUUUGGUACUCCAUGAUUGUUCAUCUCGUGAUAUUUUUUUUUUUGAUUAUUUCAUUAAGUAACGCUUAUUAGCUUUCAUGCGAAUUAGGAGUCAAAAUCAAAUUUGUCUAUCGGAUUAGGGUUCAUACCCAAUUAAGUUACUAACGCCAGAGGGAUUUUGAAGUAUGCAAUUUUCCUUAUUUAAGUGUUUUAAUUAAUAAGAAAAUUGAAAUUAAACAAUUUAGCUUGUCCAACUCAUCUGCCACCUAAGAUGGUAAAUAAAUGUGGUAUAAAAUUGUGGUAAGAAUAUCAUUACUCUUAUCGAAAUUACAAAAAAAAAAAAAAAAGCUGAUUCAAUAUUUAGUUAUUAAAAAAAAAAUGAUCAAGUAACUAUCCAAUACCCAUGUAUUGGGUGCUUUGUUUGAAAAUUUUCAAAAUGAUAUUGGGCUCGUUUGGAUAUGUUUUUAAAAUGACUGAAAGCAUUUUUAGAGAAAAUAUUUUUUUGAUUCCAAAAGCACUUAAAGUGCUUUCUGCAAGAAGCACCCGUUAUGUGCUUCUUCCUGGAAGCACUUUAAGUGUUUUUCCAGCAUUUACUUGCUUUUUUACUAAGGACUGGUUCCAAAAACAUUUUCACAAAAAGUGUUUUCAGUCAUUUUAAAAGCACAUUCAAACGAGCUCAUUGUUUUUCCUAUUUUAAUCGAGUGCGUCGUCCUCUGUUGAGAAUGAAUCUCAUAUUAUGGGAGGAGGGAUCUUGCAUGAAUGGGAGGAGGGACCUUGCAUGAGCUUAUAAGUAAGUUGGGUUACUCUCCAUAUUGCCAAAAGAAAUUUUAUUUGGACCCAGUUUUCCUCUCUCUAAACCCAACUUUAAUAUUUUGUUACCUAUAAACUCUCUAGUUUACCCUCAUAAAUUAUAAACAUAAAUAAACUAGAAAAAGAAAAACUCAUCAAACCCAUUUCCCAACUGUUCUGGCGUCUCUUCCCUGUAUUUGUUGGGUCUGUCUCCCUCCCGACUGUUUUUUUUUUUCUGAUAUCUCUGUGUGUUCCCCCACCUCUCCCACACCCACCAAUUCUUUGUGGUGGCUAUUCCACCAAACGUCCAGUGAAUCUUUCCAUUUUUCUUCUAUUGCGCGUGAUAGGGCCUUGCUAUUAAUAGGCAAAACUAAGCGGCAUCGUCGACUCCGUAAGCGACUUGUUGCAUAAGUCCAAAAUGGAGUCAAAUGGAUUUUGUAUUGGGUCGGGUUGUUGAAGGCGAUGGCUGAUUUAGCAAUCCCGCCUAACUAUUUCUAUAUGUAGGAGAAGGAAGAGGGAGGGAGGUCUGAAGUGGUGGUUGAGUGGUGGCGAUGUAUGUGGGUUCUCUCUCGGUUGAAUGGGUGUAGAAAGAUAUUUAAUUUUCAAUAUCUUAUUUUAUUUUGUAUAAGGGAUAAUAUAGGAAUUACAUAAAAAGUUUUUUUUAUAGCUAGGUGUAGAAAUAGUAUUGUUGGGUCUAAAUAAAAUUACCCUAUUGCCAAUUAGUUUUAUGGUGAAAUCUUAACUUUGUUCAUGCUUUCAUAGUAGGUUGUUCCACGUGUGAAGUCAAACAUCCACACGCGCUGCACGUCACCCCGUUGUGUUGUUCACGUGUUAAGCUUGAAAAUUCAUCACACAUGAGGGAGCGUGUUGAGAAUAAAUUCCACAGUUUAUAAGUAAGUUGUACUACUCCGUAUAUUACCAAUUAAUUUUGUGGAAUUCCGUCAAAGCUGAAUUUGACGGAAAAAAAUAACUUCAUGUUUGUUCUUAACUAUAAAGUCAGUGAUACACUAAUUCUGGUUUGUUUGUUUUUUCCUUCCUUCUUAAGGAAAUUCCCAAUCCAACCAAAAAAAUGAAAUUCCCAAGAGAAUAGUAGCACGAACAAUCGUAGCUUUCUUCUUCGAUAAGCCUUGGGGAAACAGAAAAGGGAAAACCGGACUUUAACCCUAAUUUCUCCCAAUGCCGCAGCACUCUCUAUUUUCUCUCUCGCUCUAUAUCGCGGUCCCUCUCUCUCGCCGUCCUCUAUUGCUCAAACUCAAUGUCUCCAACUUCCUCUGUAUGGUUCCCGAGGAAGAUGGUAAAACAGUAAGGGCAAGAAAUUGUGACAAGGUUAGAUUUGGGUAUUAAUCUGGUGGGGCUACAAUUCUCCAAUCCACACCCCUUUCAUCUGUGCUAGUGUUUGAACCCAAUAUUAGAUAACCGGUCCAUGCAAUCGAUGCCGUUGAAUGAGAAAAAUUCUAGGCCGUGGGAUCAAAUAUAAUGAUGUGGAUUAAAUAAGGAAAAUUUAAAGAGUAAUGAUAUUCAUACCAUGUUUUUGUACCACAUUUUCAUACCACCUUAGGUGGCAUUUGAUGUGGAUAGCCACAUCAUUUGAAUUAAUCAGAUUUUAAAAUUUAGUUGAUUAUUUAAUAAACUAAUAAUUAAGAAAAACUAAUUAAUUAAAUGAUGAUUGUGAUAUACGAGGAGUCUUUCUCGUUCAUUUCUUUGGGUUUUGCAAAUUUUUCAAAUGAUGUGGCUGUCUACAUCGGAUGCCACCUAAGGUGGUAUAGAAAUAUGGUAUAAAAAUAUGGUAUGAAUAUCAUUACUCAAAUUUAAAUGUUUAUCUUGGUUAAAUUACCAUGAUAAUAUUGUGGAAUUAUCUUUUGCAUAACGGAAGAGCGAGAAAAGUCCAAGGGUGUAGGGAAGUUGUGUGGUUGACUACCGCUAUUUUGAUGGUAUAAUCUGUAGAGUAAUAUUACAUUUAACAUCUAUUUGUAUCAUAUUUCUAAUAAAGAUAAGGACCAUCAAUGCAUAAAUAAUUAAACAAAUAUAUAAUAAGAGUAUCAUUUUUGUAACUAGAAUAGGAGAAGAAAGACUUCAAGAUGGGAUCAGCCAAAUAAUUAGCGUUAAGAUAAAAAUAUUGAAAGGAAAACUAAUGAAAAUGGCUUGAAAACUUUGAGUUUUAACGAUAAGGACAAGAUAAAGGGUAAAGUGAAUAGUACCAGGAUUGACUUUUUAAUGUAAAAAUAUAGUUUUUCGUUAAAGUGAACAUUACCGGGAACUUUUCGUUAAAGUUUCCAAUGAGAUAAUAUUGCAACAGCUGGCAUGAGACAAUGAUGGUAUAAAGAUGGCUACUACGGCCAAACUACUACAUAGGAUUCCAUACAUGCGGUCAUUAUUUCGACAAAUCAAUGGCUGCCGCAAUCAUGUGCUCAUUAUUCCGACAAAUCAGUAGCUACUUGCAUUGGAUUAGGAUUGCAUGCGUGUGGUCAUUGAAUGAGGAUUGCGUGCACGUGAUCUUUAUUCAAACAAAUCACUAUUGACCAUAUAUUGCAAUUGGUUAAUGGUAGGCAAAUUGAAUUUUUACAUCAAAUAAUGUGAUUGCUGAUAAUUGAAUUAUUAUUUAAAUGUUGAUUAAUAUGCUUAUUUUUUAUUUGUGAUAUAUCAUUUAAUUUGUACAUUUAGUUUACCUAACAUUACCAACUGUAAUUUGUAUAAAUGGACUGGUACCUAACAUAACCAGUUGUAAUUUGUAUAAAUGGGACUGUAAUUUGUAUAAAUGGACUGGUGCCUAACAUUACCAGUUGUAAUUUGUAUAAAUUUACUGGUCCCAAGAGCACAUGCUACUGCUCAAGAAGCAAAGUUCUUAUUUGCCCAAAAAAAAUCAUGGUUUUUUAAUUGAUGCUCUCAUUUUAAUUUACUAGCCCCUUACUUGGCCUUUUUUAUUUAUCAUUUUAUACAUAUUAAUAUUUUUUUGUAAAAUAUAUUAGUUUGAGUUUUAUUAAAAUUAAAAAUAAAUAAAAAAACUUAGUUUUAGUUUUAUCAAAUUAAAAAAAAAUGACUUAAUAUUUAGUUAUUGAAAUUGUAAAAAAGUGAUCAAGUAUUGGGUGCUUUGUUUGAAAUUUUUCAAAAUGAUAUUGUUUUUACCAUUGAAACCCUGUUAUAUACAGUGAUGGCUAAUUUGUCAAGUUCUACGAAGUUGGGAUACCCAGCGUUUUAGCAUAUAACAUAGCUUAGUAUUACAAGCAUAAUUAAUUAAAAUAAAGGCAAAAUAAGAGGAUAGCUUAGUAUUACAAGCAUAAUUAAUUAAAAUAAAGGCAAAUUGUAACAGCCCGUCCCUAAAAAUGACGAUUUUAUAAUCUUAACACGUGAGUUUAUGAAGAUGCCCUUCGAGGCAAAGUGUUGACUACCGCGUCGUGUCAUGUGAGACUCAUCUUCUUGGCGUAUUCUCGUUUUACUCGUCGCUACGGAUGCGUGGGCGCAAACGACACGUGAUUUGGAGCUAUAACAAAAGAGUUAUUAACAUUUAAAGUUAAGGACAUUUUAGUAAAUUAAUUAAUUUCAGAUUUUGUUGAGGGGAAAAUCUGGAGUGCCAUGUGGGUGGCCCAGAUUAAAGGAAAUGAGGAAUGGAUGGUGGAGGUGUAAAGGAAAGAAGAUAAAAGAAAAAUGAGAGGAAAUGUGUGACUAAUAGGGAGAUGAGAGAGUUAGGAUGGCCCAAUUAGAAACAAACGAAAGGAGGAAAAAGGAGAGAAGAGGGGAGCAGGGGAUCCCUUCAACCCGGUUCCACUUUCCGACCCGACCCGAUCCUUUUCAUCUUUUCCGGUGGUUUUUCGUCAGUUUUUCCGGCGAACCACGUUAUCUAACCCCGUUGAAAAUGUUCCACGACCUUCCCUCUACCAUUACAACCCAAAAUUGUAGAAAUUUAGCCAUGAAAGUAUGAAAACCGCACCGGUGGGUGCGGGAAACCUUUGUCGUCGAUUCUCCCAUUAUUGAAACGAUUUUCACCAAUUAUCACCACCUACAGCAUCCUCUUGAGGUCUGGAAUAAAGCCCAAACAAGUUUUGGGGCGUUGGAGUUCGUUUAAGGUCGAAUUGAGCACACCCAAAUUCAAGGGUUCCGUACCGUUCAUGGUGAUUUGAGGUGUUUCUCGGCCAAAUUGGCCUUAGUCACAAGUAUGAAAGUUGCUCCACUCGUUGAGAUCUUCAUUUAUGUGAAAUUUGAGAAUUUUUUGAAAUAUUUGGAUUUUCCAGCGAGUCGGGGUGGCGGACCGCCACCGGCAGCAGCGCAUGGCCAGUGGUCCACCAAUGUCAUUUUACGUUAAAUUGAUAUCUUGAUUUUAGAUUUGAUGUCUAUAUGUUAUGACUUGAUUAUGUGAACCUAGUUUGAUUAAGGUGCGUUAAUUGGUAAAAAUAUGAAACGACGAUCCGACCGUGGGAUCGUCACCAAACUUUAAUAUGUUAUAGUACAUAAUAUUUGAGAAUCAUAGGGACUGACAGAUAGGAAAUCCGAGAUACAGAUCUUCCCGAAAUGGAAUUGUAAGUUUGAAGAAUAAACGUUAACCGCCACUUUGUUUUGACUAUUGGUGGAGAUCCAACCGUUGGAUCAUAAUGAAAUUUUAGGAUGAUGUUUUAGAAGCAUAAUGUGGAUCUUUGGAAGUUACUGAUCGGAAAUCCGAGGAGUGAAUCUUCCGAAUUGAAUUACGUAGGGUUGUGGACCUUACCGUCGAUCGUUGACCGAUGAUCGACUUUUGGUCAAUGGGGCUUAAAUCAAUCUAAAACGUUUUUAGGGAUGUGUUUUACGUAAAUUACAUGAUCUAUUGAUAAGAAUUAUGAGAUGUGGUUUGAUAAUUGUCCUAGGUGCCGAUCGUUAGGAACGCUUCGAUGGUUAUGCUAGGAAAUUGUAGCACAGACUCCUUGUGAGUGAAUCUUUUCCUUCUUAUCAUAUAUAUAUAUAUAUAUAUAUAUAUAUAUAUAUGAUUGACAAUUCCACAAACGUUUAUAAAUUGAUUAUUGCAUAUAACUACUGUGAAUACUUUGAAGUACUUAUGCGAACUACGAAUGGCUUGAUCCGUGUUUAGGGUACGUAGGCAGUCUAACAAGACGUUAGAUGUAGUCAUACAAUAAUUGAGAUUAAACAAUUGAGAUAAAGCCUUGUUUGGGGAACUGGGCAAGGUGAAGGAAUUUGGUAAAAAGGUGAGAUUUAACCUUAUGAAUUGGUGAUUAAAUGUUGGUCAUAAAUCAAUGUGUAAAGAAUCAAGAAUUUGAAGUAAGGAAACGUAAGUAAUGAUAAUUAAUUAAACUAGUGUCUAGUUGGGCUUGUCACCUAUAAUUAUCCCCGAAAAUGAAUAAUUCGGGAGUAGGGCGUUACAGCUUCUGCAUUUUUAUGCCACAUUAUAUAUAUAUAUAUAAUUGGAAAUGCUAUAACAUGGUUGAGUAUCAGAUUUCAUCAUGGUUUAUCUAUAUGUAUAUUACCUGCACACAAUUAUUAUGAACGCGUUGAAGUGCAAAGGUGAAUGCACGACACCCAGGUAAGUUCAGGUGAGUUUAUGGUAUUAGUUGAAAUGAUGGGGUUAUGGUAUGACUACAUGUAUGUUUAGGUUGCAAUGAUAGGCAACUCCAACACUGUCGUACAGGUUGCCCAUGAAUUGUACAUGUUACAAUAGAUACAGUUAGAGCUCAUAAACCUACACCCCGGUGUUAGUACUCCCGCUCGUGGCCAGGGCACAGUCCUUCACGUGAUGUUCACCUCCCGCACCUUACGCUCACCUUGGAUCCAAGGUAGGUGCACAAUCAUGUCGUACCACUAUAGGUGGUUCCGACUCGUAGAUGACCCGCGAUUAUUUGCACAGUCUUCACGUGAUUGUAGCACUUGAGCGUAUUUAUUUACACCCAGUUCUAUUGUACAGACCACUUUAGGUGGUUCCGACUCGUAUGCAGGUAUACUUAUUAAGCUAUGGAUAAGUCGUACAGGUCACUAGAAGUGACUCCGACUUAUGAGCUAGCAUAUGUGAUGAGCUAGCAUAUGUGAUGAGAUAAGUGAUGAGUUAGUAUAUGUAAUGAGAUAUGUGAUGAGCUAGCAUAUGUGAUGAGAUAUGUGAUGAGCUAGCAUAUGUGAUGAGAUAUGUGAUGAGCUAGCAUAUGUGAUGAGUUAGCAUAUGUGAUGAGCUAGCAUAUGUGAUGAGAUAUGGGUAAGUCGUACAUGUCACUAUAGGUGACUUCGACUUGCGUGCUAGUAUGGGUUAUUAAUCACAUGAUUAUUGAUAUUACUGAUGAGAUGCUGUGUUGUGGUAUAUUUAUGAUCUUUCUGGAAACUAUGCAAGUGUUGUAACGAGGGGUUAUAAUGAGGUGUUGUAACGAGGGGUUAUAAUGUUUUAUAUGGUUUCUGUUAAAAUUUUAUUUCUAGGGUCACUCACCCUUAUUUUGUUUUCACCCUCUAGGUUUUAUUAGCUGAGCUUUCUUAUCGUCGAAGAUUCGUGGCGAUUCUUAGUAUUGGAGAUUAUUUCGAGAGUACGAUUCUUAAUUCACUUUACUGUACUUGCUUAAGCUGUAACGUCACGUGUGAAGUGGGUUCAUUUCCGCUUACCAGCGCAUUCUGGUAUUUAGGCACUCUUAGGUUUAAAUUUAUUCACAUUUUUCCACAUCAUCAAACUUUAUGGCUUUGUCACUCUUUAGGUGUCGGCCAGCACAGCUCGAUUUGGAGUCCUAGUGGACAUUCCGGGUCGGGGUGUGUCACAAAUGAAGAGGAUGGUUGAACUUGUUAAGUUUCUUAAGUGUGUCUACUUGAAGUGUGUUGCUAAUAAAUAUUUUGUUGUAGGCAUAAUUUACUGAACAAUUAUGGAGGCAGAGAGAGAGAGAGGGAAUAUGCGGCAUAGAGAGAGAAGAGAGAGAUGUGUAAUUGUGAGGUGUGUUCUAUUCCACCCCAUUGUACCUUUAUUAUAUUAGUAGGGAAAGUUAAUUCCUUACCCUUUUAGGAUUACAACUCUAAUAGGAAAAUAUCUAGUCUAAGAGAUAUGAUAGAAUCUCAUAAGGAUAUCCUAGAUAUGUUAGGAUUUACACAAUCAUAUUCCUAUUCCAAUAAGACUGCAACACAUUUGUAUUUUUUUAGAAUUUUUUUGAUAAUUUGUUGGUAUUCUCAAUUUUUGUUAACAUUGAAAAUAUAACGGUUCAGAUGAAAAACCUUUGGAAAUCCAACAGCUUGCAAGACGUUGGGCUGUGCUGAAGGAAGCUGGGCUGUCACGUGGAUGGGGCCCUCCCUCUCCCUCUUGUUGAUUCAAAGGGCGCAGGCCCGUGCAACAAUUGGCGAGGCAGCCCAUAGAGAUCCUGCGAUUCACCCAUUCGCCAUUUUUUCCACCGCUGGAGCACCAAAAUUCGGUCAAAAGGCAGGGGUAUCAAUGGCAAGGGCAAUUUGGCUUCCGCUGGAGGUGCUCUUUGUCGACUUUGUUUUUUCUCUCAUUUUAGCUUUUGCAGUAAUAUUGAAGUAAUCACUCCAAUUUUAUCCAAACUUUUGUUGUCCGUCAAUUUUUAUCAAAACUAUUGGUUAAUUUACAUAUUCAGACUAACCUUCUCAUUAUUUUUAGUAUUUUUAUCAUAAAUAAUAUCUGAAAUAGUCACAUUUUAUUCAACAACCACUCAAUUAAAAAUUAAUUAGUGUUGUUUCUAAACCAUUACAUCAAGCUUUUGUAGAUACACAUCAAUAUUGCAGCGAUCCGAGGCAUUGUUUUAGUGACGGUAGUACUUUCUACUCCUUGGAUUUGGUGAAUCGGAAAAGAGAAGAGUUACGAGUAAAAGUCCCUCGCAUUGUUUUGGGGAGAUGAAGAUGAUGAUCUUUUGUUUUUGUUUUUUAAUGAUUAAUCCACGCAGCAACAUAUAAUUAAAUUGUUGGGAUCUACUCAAGUUCCAUAUCACACACUAACAUAAAAUUUGACAAACGAAACGAAAUAUGUGUGUAGACAUCGAAAUUUCGUAAAUAAAUGUUGACCGAUAAAUCAAAGUGUCAACGCUCAUGUAUUACAUAAAUUUUACACGUAGCGUGUGACUCAACGAAAAUUGAAAUGAGUUGGAAAAGUCAUCAAAUAGGACACGUGUCAACACCUGGCAGAAACGACUUAUUUCAUCUGGGAUAUUAUAUUCAAAAUUAGCCAUUGGAAAAUUCUAUAAAUACAAGCCCAUUUCAUUCAUUUAAGGAGAGGAAUUCAUAUUACACCUUGAAGCUCUGAAGCUCUGAAACUCCGAAGCUCUCAAGCAUCCAGGUUCCCGAAGAAUCAAGAAAGUGUUCUUCGUUCUUCGUUCAUCGUUCUUCCAAGAUCAAGCCUCGACGGCCCUUGGAUCAACAAUCAUCCACCUUCAAGAUCAAGCCCCGACGGCCCUUGAAGAAAGCGUUCUUCGUUCUUCGUUCAUCGUUCUUCCAAGAUCAAGCCCCGACGGCCCUCGGAUCAACAAUCAUCCACCUUCAAGAUCAAGCCCCAAAGGCCCUUGAAGAACUUCCACCAAUUCAAGAUCAAGCCCCGACGGCCCUUGAAGAAAGCACCAUCGUUCAUCAUCCGUUCAUCCAAGAUCAAGCCCCAACGGCCCUUUAGAUCAACAACGUCGACAAAUCCACACAUCCAACCGUUCUUCAAGAUCAAGCCCAAAAGCCCUUGAAGAUCCGUUCAUCACUGUUCUUCAAGAUCAAGCCCAAAAGCCCUUGGAGAUCCGUUCAUCACUAUUCUUCAAAGAUCAAGCCCAAAAGCCCCUUUGAAGAUCCGCUCAAAUCCACCUUCAAGAUCAAGUCCACGGCCCUUGAAGAACGUUCAUCCUUAGAUCAAGCCCAACGCCCCUUUGGAUCAAUCGCACAUCCACAAAUCAACACCUUACGGAGAUCGAAUCAGAGGAUCAAAAUAGAGAGAGAUUGUAACCCAAAAUCAUCAAAUACAAAUAUUUGUUUGUGCGCGUUGUUCUUGUCUCUUUCGUUUCAGGAAUUUUCCGUGUUCACAAUGUGCUCUUGAAAUCAAAAUGAGGGCACUGCUCCAAGAACAAGAAGGGCACCUUGUCGAGGUCGCCAUCCGCCGUGAGGGAAAACCGGAAGAAGUUGGACAACAAUGAUAACAUCAAUUUGCGGCACCCAUAUCGGGACAUCACACUGUGAAAUAAAUAUUGAAAUAAAUACUCAAAACUCCUGGAAAGUCCUCGAGACAACAAACUUUCAUCUCCUUCAAACAUUUCAUUUUACUAAGUUUUAUCUUUGAAGGGAGGGAAAAAAAGAGAAGAGAGAAUCCUACUCCUUAUUCCUGAAUAUAUUCAAGAAUAGCUAUUGAAUAAAGAGAGAAUGGAGGGUGAUCGAAAGAGGAGGGAAGAGAAUUCUAGUUCCAAACAUAAAAAGGACCACAACUUUUAAAUUAUCAGCACAAUCAUCACCUAAUUGAAGAGACCAUUCACUGUGAAACAUAUUGUCAAUCAGUCUAUCUAUAUCUAUUUAUAUACCAUAUUUUUAGAGUAAGAUUCUCUCACCUCCUAUUACCAUCCCCUUCCAUCCUUUCAUCUCAUACUCUUUUUUUGUUGUCUUAUUCUCUAUAUAAAAAAAUUCAAAACAAGAUGUAUACGUGACGUAAUCGUAACCGUUUAAAUAAGAGGGGAUAGAAGAGAAGAGAGAUUAGGAGAAGGGAGAAUCCUACUCCCACAUUUUUCUUCUUCAUAAACAAAAGAGAGGUUCUAGAUUACUUGACUCUAUGCCUCAUUUUUUUCAUCAAGUAUUUGUGAUAAGUGGGUUCAUUUUCAAGUAUUUUAGUUUUUUUGUCAAAAUUGAGAAAACUGAAAAUCAAACAUUAAUAUGAAAAAUUAAAAAAUCAACAUAUAAUUAUUUAGAAAUCGCAAUAGAAAAGAAAAAAAAUGGAGGUUUGUGAUGAAAAAUCUUUUAUACUAAGUAAUUUAGUAUCCUUAUGCAUGAAGAUAAAUCAAUUUGUUCGUUACGGUCAUACUCUUUUUUGAAUUUUUGAACACAUUCUCCAUAGGGCCUUCUUAUAUGUUCCUUCUCCAAGCUCGGGUUAUGGAAGAAGUAAAAGAAGGAAUCGAAAAGAAAGUAUUGGUAACAACCGAUUUCAUUACGAGACAACUCUUGAUAUUCAUAUCAAUCUAUUAUGUACCUUUGCAUCUAGCAUUAGACAAUAAUUGUCAUAGCUUUACCAUAUUUUUUUGUUUCAUUUCUUCUGAAACAAUCUCACACACUUUUUUAUUAUGUGUCUACUACUAGGAAUUCAAUACGUAAUCUUAGCAUUCAAUAGUUAUUCCUAAAUAAUUUCAAUUUUCAAAUGAUCAACCAUUUCAUUUUACCAAGUUCAAUCAAUGUUAGUCAGAUUAGUCAACAUUUAUAUAUUUUGAUGCAACAACAAGAUGUUAUUUGUAACAAGUGAUUUUGUUAGUUGGUUAAUUGGUCACAAGUUAAUGUUCGGUUCAGUUUAGUUUUUCUCUCGAUUUUUUGUGAUUCGGUUUUUUCAAUUCUCUUUAGGGUCGGUUCGGUUUUGUUUUUUUAUUUAUACUUGAAUUUUAUUUUAAUUUAUUUUAAUUUAUUUUAUUUUAAAUCUGGAAACACCAAGAACAACACAAGCACAUAGUCAAUCAAACAACUAUCCUUCUCCACAAAUCAUAGUAAUAAUUACAUUCAUUGAGCUGAAAUGCAAAUAACUAACAAACUCACAAAAAUCAAAUAAAAACUACAAAUUGCUUACUCUUUUUCUUUGGGUUUCACUCGAAAAGUGUCGGUAAAAUUUAGGGUUUGCAAGAACGCAACUGAAAUCUAAAACGGAGGCCUUGUGGCCUAUGGGUUGCUAUUGAGUUCCAGUACAGAGAACCUUGCUUAAUCUCGAUCACGGUACAAAGUAUCGAGUACCUUUAGCACUGUAUUUUGGUAUGAUUGGUAGAACCAAAUUAAAAGCUAACAUCAACAACAACUACCAGAGACAAAAGCUCUUAUCAAUGCUUUGGAAACAUUUAUGUAUCUCCAAGUGUAAUGAUAUAAUUGGUUGGAAACUUGUGAUUUCGUAUCAAAUCAAUAAAAAGUUACAAUAUUGACAAUAUAUUAGCAAUUUUUAUGUUAAUUAUGAACAAGUCAAUCAUGUAGAACCAAAUUAAAAGCUAACAUCAACAACAACUACCAUAGACAAAAGCUCUAAUCAAUGCUUAGGAAACACAGUCCUGUAUCUCUAGGUGUAUUGAUAUAAUUGGUUGGAAAUUUAAAAGAAAAAUGGUGAUUUUGUAUAAAAUUGAUAAAAAGUUACAAUAUUGACAAUAUAUUUGACACACCCCGACCAAGAUCAAGGCAUGCUGGCCGUCACAUGAGAGUGACGUAACCAUGUGCACAGUGCGGAAGCAAUAAUGAUAAGAAAUAUAUGAAUAAUUAAAAACCGAAUCUACUAGAGUGCACUACUAAACAGGAAGUAUUAGGAGUAAGAUACAAAAGUAAAUACUCCUAAUCAGAGCAUAGAAAGUCUAGGUGCAAUCCAGUAGGACAAGUACUAAUUAUACAGUAUAAAAUGUCUUACAAUUAUUUAGAUAGGUCAGAACCGCCGAAGUCCUCACACCCAACAACUGCAAACUUACUUAAAACCUGAAGGGGCGCAAAAUAGAAAACGUGAGUGGGAAAAAACAAAUGUUUUACAAAACCAUUUCAUUUAUCAAUAUAUCUAACCCCUCGCUGUAAACAUGUAUAAUUUUUCCCAGAAUCAAGAUAUAAGCAUAUACAUAAAUAUAUAUAUAAAUAUAUCAAUUCAAAUCAUGCUUCACAUAAUCAUAUUCAUAUGUAUGUCAUGCCAAGAUAUAACAGAGUAAGCAACUCAGGUAAGAGUAAUUUCAUAGAAAUAUAACAUGUUAGCCGGAACCCCUGUAGUAGUCUGUACGGCUGAAUUCAUAGCUCAAAAGUCAAUCUAGCCGAAGUCACUACAAUGACCUAUACGGCAAUAUACUGCACAAGAGUCGGAACCAAAUGAAAAGAUCUGUACGACAAUAAUGGGUGUUGUUGAUGCACAAAAUCAGUGAGGACUUUGGUACAACAGAAAGUGUUAAGUUUGUGACAUUCUCUAGAUUACUCCGAUCACUAGUGUGGAUAAGUAUGUAAAUGGAUAAAGACAGGGAAGCAAACACAAGAUGUACGUGGUUCACCCAGAUUGGCUACGUCCAUGGAGUAAAUGAGUUCUUAUUAAUUGUGAAGGGUUUACACAAGUAUAUAGGUUCAAGCUCUCCUUUAGUGAGUACUAGUGAAUGAUUUAGUACAAAUGACAUUAGGAAAUAUUGUGAGAGAAUGAUCUCUAUUUAUAGAAGAGAGUUUCUAGUUUCAUUCUGACAUUGACACGUGUCAUGUUGUGAUUGGCUUCUGAUGUUGACAUGUGUUGCACUAUGAUUGGCUUUAGAUGUCAACAUGUGUCGCGUUGUGAUUGGCCUCCUGGUUUGAGGGAAACUCUUCUGGCUCCUUGACGGUAUAACGUUGAUCGAUGCUCAGUAGUUUCGGGAUUGGUCAAGUAUGGUACAAACAGGUGUAAUAUAAUCAUACUCAAUACUACUCUCACAUAAUAGCUGGGUGAUAAAUCGCUAGUCACCUAUGAGUCAGAACGAUAAUAAAGGUCUGUACGAAGACUGUGCACCUAAAUUGGAUCCAAUAUGACCAUAUGGUGCGGGAUGUGACAUUAUAUACAGGCUUGUGCCAUCACUGGCGGAGCUACACCCACGGCUACAGUAGGCUGUAGCCUAGGGAGGAUUUUAACAAACUGCUGGUAUAAUAGUUUAUAUAUGAGUUUGUUGUUGCUUAUUGUAUGUAUAAUAGCCCACAUAAAUCCUGCCAAAAUUAUUAGUUAAUGUGUUUCUUAAUUUAUAAAUAAUACUUUUAUUACCUUUUAUUAUUUUAUUAUUUUUAGGCUAAAAGUAAAAAUGGUAAAUUAAUACAUAAUUAGGUUUCUCCUAUUCCCCAUGCUUUUUACCUAUUCGUUCAAAACAAAAAAAUUAAACCCUCUACCCUAAGAAAAGAAAAACUAUGAAUCACCAUCAAAUUAUUUUCUAAUGAAAUUCAACACUAGAUAUGCUCUUCAUGUCUUCAUUUAACCUAUUUCUUGAUUCAAUUGUUCAUUCCAUAUAUCUACAGCACGACUUGAAUUGGUAUCCCCUAACCUUUUUUCUUUUGGGUACUUGUUAUCAACAAAAGUGAUAAUAUUUGUUCUCUUUCUAUUGCUUUUUUGUAUGCAUGUUUUAUUUGUGUAAAAAUUAGUUGGAAAGUAAUUAAUAAACUUGUUUGGAUUAUUAGUACUUCAUGUUCCUACUUUUAUGUAGAUUACUAUAUAAUUUUAUGUAGGCAAAAAAAAAAUUCAUAAGAUUAUAUGCUAAUGAUUUUAGUUAGCCCACCCAAGAAAAAUUUUCUGGCUCCGCUAUUAUGUGCCAUAACUCUGGCAAAAUCACAAUCACCCUAAGUGCAGUUUUAUGAGUUCAACGUUAUUCUAUCACAUAUCACAUCAUCGAUAAUUCACAUAACCAAACAUAACUCACAUGAGCUUACCUGAGCGUCCACAGUACCAUAAUUAUAUAUAAUGCAUCAUAUACGAAAUAUAAAUUCAUAUGCAUGGCAUUUAAGGUAUACUUUCAUUUAAACACAUAUUUCUGGGAAAAUAUCAAGUAUAUAAAUAUAUACUGAAAACCAAAAGCCCACUCAUUGGUAUGUCGAAGGGUCGUAGCCCCCGAGUCGCCUUUGAAUACUCUCGUCCUCGUGAUAAGUCUCACCUAUAUGCGAAUUAACUAUAAAAACGUUAUUUUAGAGCACAUACAAAAAAUUAGCUAAUAACUCUCAUACAAUGCUCAAUUUUUGUAUUUGAAUAUAUCACAGUGACCUACACAACCUCAAGAUCAUCCCUAAAUUUUUACAAUAUUUUUCUGACCCCUCACGCGCUGCCACGCACCGGCAAGGGCAACGCCUUACUCGCCCCCACGCGCGGCCACGUGACAAGCAUACUGAUGGCGUCAAUCAACAUCAUCAGGAAUAUUCUAGGGAAUAUUCUGUUAAAACCCAAUGGUAACUGUUAAAGAUGACUGACGGCAUGAGCAUAUUCUGUCAACCUUGACGGAAUAUACUCCUUUCUUCUCCGAUGAGUCGUCGGUCGCCGGCGACUUCGCCGAUUUCUUGGUAAAACUUUAAAUCGCUUAUUCUUCUUCGUUUCUUCGCCAUUUUUCAUGAAAUUGGUACCAAAAUGAAGCUAAUAACAUGUAGAAUCACUUUGUAUAAGUUUCAAGGCUUAAAAUCUACUAGUUUUUCCCUGAGAAAGCUCGAUAGUUCGGCUUACCUAGAUAUGCGUCGAUCUCAGCCCUCCGACGUCCAAUUCCUUCCAACGAAGUACCCCAAGACUCGUGAGGACCUCCUUAAGCUUCCUAUAAGCUUCAAAUUCCCUGAAACACAAGAUUUUACGUAUGCAUGAACAAUGCACAAAGUCGGAGCUAGGGUUUCCACGUGAAAUCGAAGGUUUCCUUACCUGAAAAUGGUUCCUUUGAAUUCGUAUGGUUCUCACGAACACAAUGGUGAUCUUAAAACCUUCGAUCUACAAGGUUUAAGAGGGUUUCUGGGUUGGUCCGUACGAAGAAGGGAGAGAGAGAAUGAGAAUCUGCGAGAGAGAGGGCACGGGAAGGAAAGAGAAAUAAGAUAGGUGUGUGUAUGGUCCAAAAGCCACCAAUCAAAACUAAGAAAAGUCUUAGUUGUAAUUGGGUCACCAAUCUAAAACAAUUUAACCCAAUAAUAACUUACACACAUCAUUUAACAUCCGAGGGUAAUUCCGUCAUUCUACGUCAUCGAGAAUAAUCUUCCGGGACGGGCUGUGACAAUAUCAGCAAUAUUUAUGUUAAUUAUGAAUAGGUCAAUCAUGUAUUUAAUACUUAAAUGUAUUUAAAAUAAACACCUUAUCAAUGUUUUCUGAACUGUGCUCGAUUUUUCUCCUUCGCUUUGGUUCUGUCCCAUUGGAUUUUUCAAGCAAGAUUUUAUCAAGGCAACUAUCAUUAACUGUGAACAUAAUUUAUCAUUGAGACACGAACAUCCAAGGGGGAGUGUCGUGGAAAAAAAUGUAGAUAUCUUUAUACGUUGUAUGGUAGUAAACCAUCAUAAACACCAUAAAUAUGUAGAAACGCCCUUGCGGUACCUUUGAAUGAUAACUCAUGUAUUUGUUGCCCUAUGUAAAGAUGGCUAAUGAUAAUGGAAGACUAAUUUUCUCAUCCCAAUCUCUCCUGUCUCUCUUAUUCUCUUUUCUCUAUAUUUUAUUUCCAACAAGUUGUGUUUUUUUUUUAGUAUUGUUAAGCAACCCAAUAGAUUUUAAUCGUAGUCUUUGUUUUUUUUCUUUUAUAUUUUUAAUCAAUUUCAGUUGCUUAUCAGUUCUAGCUAAUUGAGCUCUUUUACAGCAAUUUUUUUCUUUAAAUAAAAUUAUUAUUAUUAAAAAGAGUGAGAAAAUUCGAAAUUGUUACAAUAAUUUAAAAAAAAUAGGAGUUUCAAAUCAUGAAGGUAGAGGGAGUUAACAACAUUUUAGGGGGGGGUGUAGUCAAACUAGGAUUUUGAAGGAUUUUAAAAGUGAUAGAUUUGAUAGGAUUUAAGAUGAUUAAAGACUCUUACAAAAUUCAUAUGGAUUUUAAAGAAUAUGAAUGGAUUGCGGUGGAUUGUGGGGGAAGGAUUUGAAAUCCUAGGGGGUGAGGUUUGAUUCUUUUUAGUUUUGGUUAUAUAUGGUAUGCUUUCAAAUCCCAGAAAAUCCACAACUUUUUAAAAUCCUUUAAAAUCUUAAUUUUUUUAAUACACUUAGAUUUGGAUGGAUUCUAAAAUCCUUUAAAAUCUUUUAAUUGACUACACCUAGAUUUGAAUGGAUUCUAAAAUCUUUUAAUUGACUACACCUAGAUUUUAAUGGAUUCUAAAAUCCUUUAAAAUCUUUUAAUUGACUACACUAUGAUUUUAAAGUCUUUAAAAUCCUCUCAAAUCCAAGUUUGACUACACCCCCUAAAGAUUUUAAGGAAAACUAAUGAAAAUGGCUUGAAAACUUUGAGUUUUAACUAGGGGUGGGCAAACGGGUACAGGAACCGCGGGUAGGGGUGGGUAAUUCAAGUUCGGGGCAGGUAUGGGACAUGUCCAAUAUUUCUAAACACAAAACGGGGCGAGGCUGUUCGGGUAUAUGAAAUUAUCGGGGCGGGGCGGGUCUUAAAAUAGAAGGGAACGGGCCCCCAGCCUGACCCGUUUCUUUUCCUCAUCCCUAGUCUUCUCUAUCUCUCUUCCCCGACACUUUUCAUUUCACUCAAACCCGGCCCAUUUCUUUUCCUCAUCAGUCAUCCCUAGUCUUUUCAAUCUCUCUUCCCUAACUCCUUUCAUUUCACUCGUACCUCGAGACCUCCUCUUAACUCGCUCCCAGCCUCCCACCGUCCUAGCUCCGUACCUCGCCAUCAUCAUCGUCAGACCUCCAUCUCUCCUGAUUUACUCAUGUCUUCCUCGCUGCGUCCGCCGCCAUGUCUCUCUUUCUGUGACGAACUUAAAGGGACGGACGAAGUUGAACAACUCGAAACGACGCCUCUUCUGUCUGAAUUAGACCCAUAUUUGCAGCGCACGACUCUGCUCAUAGUCCUCUUCGGUUUUAAGGUAUUACGUUUUAGAGAUUUAGGAUUGAAAAUUAAAUUAGGGUUUUCUAGAUUUAGGGAUUUUGUUGGGUUCUUGAACCUUGACCUCUGUUAUGUUCCAAUUUCAAAUAUAUAUUGAAUUGAAUUUGAAUCGACUGUGUUUGAAACUUCUGUUGAAUUAAAUUGAAUUUGAGCAGGAGAAGAGGCAGAUGUGGGUUGGGCAAUGUCGAAUCUCAUUGUGGGUGGUGAGGUGGGCAUGGCGGGCGACAAUAUUGACUGGCAAUGGUACGGGCGGUGCUAUUAAGUUGCAGAAGAAUACGAAGGAGGGGGUGUGGGCAUGGGUGGAUAUCGCAAGCUCAAUUGAAUUUUUUCUGGUUUUGUUUGUGAUUAAUUGCUUGUAUAUGAUAGUUAUUGAUGGAUCUUGACAUGCCCAUUUAAUUGUUAUUGGCAAUGCUAGUUUGAUUGUAACAAAUUCAAACCGAUUGAAUUGUAUCCCAGAAAAAAAAAUCAAUAAAGGAACUGAGGACCCGGCCCGAACCAGCCCAUUUCAACCGGGCCAGGUUAGGUUCGGUUCUUAUAUUAGAAAAUGUUGUUCCCGGCCCGUUUCUCUUAAGCCCGGAUCCAGUCCGAUCACUUCGAAAUUGGCCCCAACCCGGCCCGGGCCCACCUCUAGUUUUAACGAUAAGGACAAAAUAAAGGGUAAAGUGAAUAGUACCAAGUUUGACUUUUUAGUGUAAAAAUGUAAUUUUUCGUUAAAAUAAGAUUUUAAUGGAUUCUAAAAUCCUUAAUUAAGAAAUUAGGCUUCAACCCAACUCAUCUUUGCAACGCCGGUUCCACUUCACAUCAACAGGCAAUGUUUUCUCCUCAACAAAUAGUAUUCUUUUAUGAGACAAAGACUAAUGAGGGUGAUAUAUAUAAUUAAUAAUAAUACUUGUGUUCCCUUUGUGAGUGAAUGCACUUAUUUUACCAUUCUCUAAUAAUGUAUCUUUAUUAUAUAAAUUUAUAUCAUGUGGAUAUCUUCCUAUAAAAAAGUUAUUCAAAUUGGAAAUCCUUACGUCAUCAAAAUAUAUAAAAAAAUGGACGAUCUCAUCGUAAAUAUGUUAGUUACUCACACUAUAACUUUGUAUAUUCCCUCACGUAGGAAACGCAAUAAUUAUCCUCUAAUUAAUUCUUCUUGAGAGUAGAAUUUUUAUUGUUGGUUUUUCGCAACCUUCAGACCUAAAGCUGAUAUGGACCUCUCAUUGUUUUUUGGGUUGCCGUUCUUAUUUUGCUUGGUCCUUUUACCUUUUCUAUAGUUGUUUAUCUAGUUCUUUUGAGCCUCGUACUAAUUUUUAAUGUAAUGAAAAUUAUCUUCGUGAUAAAAAAAAAAAUCAUUAGUCCUCGUAUGAACAUGCGAUGUAACACACUUUCAUGGAACAACAGAUGAUAAAGACGAUAUCCAAAUUUUCUCUGUGUUAUGUGGACUUUCCCAACCAAAUAAAUAAUAACCAAUAAACAAAUAAAUAAGAGUUUAACUUCAAACAUUGAGAAGCGAAAUUCCAACACUACGAGCCUAACUUUUGUCUUCAUCAUCAUCAUAGACUAGUCUCCUAUCCAUCAACUCCUACAUCAAUUUUUUUUUUUACUAGAUUGUAGCUCACUUUCAAAAGAGUUACGUAAAGUAUUUAAGCACCAUAAAAGAAAAUUAAACGACAACGAUUGACAUAAUAUUAGUAGUAUCAUGGUCUAAAAUAUUCAUAAUAUCUUGAUAUUUUUAUUGAAAUUUUCGUGUUUUUAGACUACCUAUAUUUUCAAUAUCAUCGAUAUUUUAAACCUUGCUAAGUCACUCAUGUAUCUUACCAUGCAAUGUAUAAAGUGUAAAAUAUUGUACUAAUUCAUUAUAUAUAAAUGAUUAUAGUGUGUUUAAACUUCUUUCAUUAAUUACUACAUAUUUUCUACACUCACAAUGUUUGCCAGCUCGCUAUAUAAUCAACUUAAAUCAAUUAUAUCUAUCAUGUAAUGCAUUUCCUUCCAAUUUUUUGUGAUAAACUAAUAGAUAAUUGACUAAAUAAACAUCCUGCAAAGUUUCAAUAAAAAUUUCCAAGUUUUUCUUACAAUUUCCGUAGUUUUUAUUCAAUUUUUAUCGAUAUCGAUAAUAUCCCGAUAUUUCCAUCGAAAUUUCCGUAUUUUUAGACUACUGAUAUUUCCGAUAUCAUCGAUAUUUUAUACCUUGGUAGUUAUACAUUUUAUCGGCCUCAUUUUUAUGCAACUUAUACAUUAAAUUAUUGUCAAAAUGUACAUAUAAAGUAGCUGAUCAACGAUGAGAUUUUAGGCAACCAUUUUCUUCUACGACGUCAAAGGUUGUAGAGGUGGCCAUGUGCACUACAUGCGUAAAUCAACUAGGGACUUGGAUCCUCUCUUAAGCCCAAGGAGAGGAUCCUCCUAACCAAAUGACUUGGAUUGUUGGAUGAAAAUCUAACGAUUACAAACAGAUGAUCUCUUUAAAGUUAUAAUAUUUAUUACCGUUGAAUUUUCAUCAAACGGUCAAAUAUCAUUGGUCAAAAGGGUCCUCUCAUUGGGCUCAGAGAGGACCCAAGUGCAUCAACCAGAACUAUUGCUAUUAUAACAAUUCAUGAAAUCAAUUAAACAAUAAUUUUCCUUCUGGCAGGCAUGUUAGUUAUUUCUUAUUUGGCCAAUUGCCUAGUGGAUUUGGUAGAUUUAACCUCUCCACCACAAACACAUUUAAAAAUUUCCAGAAAUCCGUAACGUAAAAUUUAAAAAUAAAUAUUAAUAACAGCAAGUUCUUUUCACCGACCGUGACCGAGAUCUGUCACAUAUCCAAAAUGUCACCUCCUUAUCGCAAAAACCAAAUUUGACUUGGGAUAAAUACCGUGUACAAAUUAAACGCGUUUCUCUAGCUUUUGCGUAAAGAGGCAACCCAACACUAAACUAGGAAAACGUUGGGUUGACAAAGAUACCAUGAAGAAUAAAGGGGUUAUGCAAUCCACUUUGCAAGAUAAUCAAAGUUUCCCGUUGUAGACUUGUCUUAACCCAACACUAAACUAAGAAAACGUUGCUUUCCCGUUGUAACAUGAAACAACAUUAAACAACAUUAAACAAUAUUAAAUAACAUUAAAUAACAUAAAAAUUAUACAACAUAAAAAAAACCAUUUAACAACAUAAAACUUAAAAUGCGUACUUCUUGCUUCUUGUGGCCUAAAGAUGUGCAACAAGAUCUUGAUGUAGGUACUUGUUUGUGGCACGAAAACGUAUCAUCCUAGCCGUUGGAUUUGAAUUUUUUUUGUUUUCGGCCAAAAAAUUUUAAAUUUAAAAGUUGAAGAUGGUGAGAAAUAUGAUCCUACACUGUUCAUUAAAAUAUUAAUUUCUUGAAUGACCAAAAGGCUAAAACAAGCCAUCCUUCGGUUGGAGAUGCCUAAGGAGAGACUAGAGAUAGAGAGUUUCCUAUAUAUGAUUUUCAUUAACAAGAUUGAAAUGAUUUCAGAGAGAAGAUCAAGUAUGGUUAUUUUUAUUUUGUAGAGUGUAGACAUUAUAACUAUACAUUCAUAAUAACAUGAGUAAUGUUAUAUUUAUCACAUUUGUACUCUUUCUCUGAUAAAGGUAGGGUUCAUCAACACAUGUGGGUUCUAUUUGCCCAUCAACACAUGCGGAUCUCAUUUUUAUUAGAAAAAUAGUACAAAUAUGGUACGGAAAAUAUGAUAAGAUCGCAAUUUUGUAAUAACAUAUAUACUCAACUAUUUAUAUACCGACCCAUCUCCUUUUAGUGUAGAUAAUAUCGUUUGUUAAAAAAAAUGUUGAACUUGUCAUAAUCAUUGAAUCCAUUUACCAUGAACAAACGGCAGUUUACUAAACUUGCCCUCAGAGUAUAUAUAAAAGGUGAAUCACAAUCUAUUGCAUUAAUAUAAGGAAACAAUUUAUAGGGUUUGACGGGUGACUUAAUAUGCUAUAUGGCACAAUGAAAAUUAAGUUCACACUUUAUCCCAAAUAAGGUGUUGCACCUUUAAUUUAUGGAUGCUGGUUUGACGUGUGACCGAAAUAAUCAAAUUGUAGCCAUUAAUCAUUUUACAAGUAAUAAUAUGUAGUUUUUACUGUUUACGAUUCACACAACAAUCUGCUAGGAAGUAGAAAAUGCAGUACUUGUCCCUCUCACAGAAGUCAUGAAUAAUUAUCAAAUUCAAAGAUAAAGAAAAACCACACAAUUUACAAGAGGAAAGAAAAUGAAGGGAUAAAGAAAGUAAGAAAGGAAUACCUCUAUGGGAGGACUCUUAUUUGCUUCAGAUGCCUACAAUAUUCAUCAUAUAAACACUGAUUAAGUAGUCAUCGAAAACCAAAACAAAUGUCGAACAUAGGGUGAAAAACAGAAAGAAUAACCGCAGCUCAUCAUACCAAUAGAGAUAGAACUGCCCGAUGCCCAAGUAUGACUGAAAAAUGGCAAUCCAAACAUGGCGCCUUCUAGCUCAUCAAACUGUCAAAACCUAGGUUCCACCAAAAAGAUACAAGUCACCUAGUUACUUGUAAAAUAAAAAUCUGUUUCAAAAUAGUGGAAAAUAUUAUUAACAUUGUUCAAAGUCCACAUUGUUGUACCUACCAAGAAACAAGAAGGAUUGUAUCUUAUCAUGAAAAAGAACAUAGGUACCUUUUCAAUUGUAAUUGUACAAAAAUGAGAGACCACUUCCGAACUUCUCUUGGAACUUCAAUCAAUUUCUGCCCACUUUUAAAUGCCUUGACAUACUUAAGCCUAUUUCUUUGAGCUUCAGUUUUGGCUUCUGAUGCCUUUAAAUUUCUUAAAGAUUCUUACCAAGUUUUACAAACUCACUUCUAUACAACCAUUUGUCAGUAUACAUACCAUUUUCUUUGAGCUUCAGUCUUUGCAACACCAAAACCCCCCAAAUAGACCCGGAAUUUUGCAAUGUGCAGGGAAUAUACAAAAAAAACCCUCCUAUCCAUCUAAAACGAAAUCAGAACCCAAACCACAAUCAAAAUCCGUAAAAUUAAUUUAGCCAACCCUAAAUCUAAUAAUUCUAACAAAUAUUAUAGUAUCAAUUGAGAGAGAAUUUGAGAAGAUACCUAGAGAUGAAAGGAAGAGCGUUUCCUCUGAUAGGGGUUCCGUGAAAGCAUCUGUUGACCAGAAAAGAAAAGGCAAAAAACCCCAAAUUACAUAUCAAGCAAUUAUAGAUAGAUCGAACCUUGAAAAUUGAAAUUUCAAACAAGAGAAAGGUUAUAAACUUACAACGAUCUGGGUGUUGGUUACUGGGUUUGGAUUUGGGUUUCUGAUAAGAGAGAGAAUCGUAUGAGGAACCGAUAGAGGAACUGCACCGGCAACAGAGAGCAACUGAUAUGGUGGAGAAUAGAGAUGGGCAAAAUAUCCCGGUUAUCCGCCCAUUUAAAGUUCACAGUUACGGUUAUGGUAAUUGAACGGUUAUGGGUACUACCCGUGGUUAUAACGGGUAUCUAUUGGUUAUGGGUAUUAUCCGCGGUUAUAACAGGUAUUCAUUUACCCAUUUAAUUUCAUAUAUGUAAAAUUUAUAAUAUUUUUAACAGUUAUAACGCGUUUUUGUAUUUGUUGCCAAACUUUUCGUAUACAAAAAAUUUGAAGCACAAGAAGCCAACAAGGAGAAAGAUCAAAGAGCUUACUUGAAGCUUAUGAUCUAUCCUGCGGUUAAUAGAAAGUACUGGUAUUAGUGUAGAAAAAUGUUUGUUUUUAGAAGCUUUAUUUUGUAAUCAUAUGAAUUAUAAUUAAAGACUUGCUUGGGUGUAGUAAAAAAAUAUCGUUUGUAAACUAUUAUUUCAAUUAUUAGAAUUGUAUGAUGACCUAAAUGAUUAAAAUAGAGAAAUGCAUGCUAAAAUGUAUUUAUAACAGUGUUUAAUUGUCAGAUUUUUUUUUUUUUUGUAAUUUUCAAGUUGUUAAAAAAAACAUGCAGAGAGGUGAAAAAAGGGAUUAAAAAAUGAUAAACGGGUUCAAAACGGGUAAACGGGUAAAUGAUUAUGGUUAAAUAGGUAAACGGUUAUGGGUAAAUGGGUACACGGUUAUGGGUAUGAGUAUAACCGUUUAUGCAAUUACCCAACGGGUAAACGGCUAUGUGGGUAUGAACAUAAAUGGUUAUGAGUAAAUAACCGCGGUUACCCGCCCGCUAUAACCAUUGCACAUCCCUAAUAGAGAACAUACGAGAAUAGCCGCUUGGAUGGUCAAUCCAAGAAGAGAAAAUCUUGCCACAAUCACGGUACUUGAAAAAAAAAACAAUUUUAAAGGAGGGAAACAAUCGCGCCUUUUUUUUAAUAGACUCUGUCGACGAUAUUCUUGACAAAUAGUCGGGUGAGCUUAUUUUUCACAACAUUUUAUUUAGGACUAGGUUCGGUUGGCAAAUCGUGUCAAAUUUCUUGUGCCAUUUGCCAGCCACAUAUACAUAAUUACCAAAAAUCAGUUACCGUUCGCCAACCAUCUUCUUGCGGUUGCCAAAAAUCGGUUCAACCAAAAUGAUUGGCUGGUUCGGUUGGUAAAUGGCACAACCGGUGGUUUCCACUUCUUCCUCGCUAUCUUCUAGUUGCAAGGGCUCAAUUUGAUUUUCAGAUUGGGAUGCUUGUUCGGUUGCAUUGUGUGGUUCAUUUUGGGUUAAUCCAUGUUGUGCACUAGCAAUUAAUUGGCUAGACUCCAUCAUCCUAAACAUAAGCAACACAUAUACAUUCAAAAUCAUAUAUAUGUACGUGUAUAUAUAGUAUCAGUAAUCAUCAUGUUAUCAAUUUUGUUAACAAUAUUUUCUAUAUUGAUUAUGGCAUGAAUCAUAUACAUAUACAUAUAUUUUUUAAACCCUAAAACUAAGGAGUUAUUUAUUUUCUAAGCCCUAAAAUUGAGGAGUCAAGCAUGUAAAAAAAUACUUAAAAUAUCUAAAUAGAAAAAGAAAAAAAAAAAAAAAAAUAUAUAUAUAUAUAUAUAUAUAUAUCGGUAGGUAUGGCAUACCGCCGACAUACAAAAUCAAUUACCAAAGCCAUGCCAUUAAUUGUCGGUUCGGUAAAAUGCCAACCGAUUAUGAAAAAAUGCCAAAACUAUACCAUACCAUUUUGAGCCAACCGGUAUGGUUCGGUCGGUAAAUCGGCUUAUGGCAAAAUUUCUCACCCCUAAUUUUAUUUGUCGCCUUAAACCUAUUGGUUUCUAGCCUACAAUUUGGAUAUUUUGUUGGGGAAAGAUUUUUGUACCAAUAAAAUUUUGCUUUGUCAGCUUAGGAUUUGUCGGCAAAAUGACAUUUUCUAGUCGUUAUAAUAUUAGGUAGAUCAAAUUUGUAAACUAUGUGAUGUGUCACCAAUAGGAAAAAAAUUCAGUGUGCUGAAAAUACAGUCUAGAACACCAAGUGUCAUAAUAUAUACUUGGUUGGAAAUUUUUUAUUUUCAAGUUUCCAACUAAUUGUAUUGUAACAGUUGGUGUUCCAAGCUAUUUUCUCGAUGCGUUGGAAAAUCUCUUCACCAAUUAAAAAUAAACAUAUUAAUUAACACUUAAGUAAUAAUCAAAGUAUCAACAACUACGUCAUAAAAUUUACGAAAUAUGAUCUUAAUUAAUGAUCUCCAUGGCAUUACCCUUUAUCUUAGCGUAUACGUACGCCUUCACAUGUUUAUUUGCUGAUAUGCAGCUUGAGUAAAAAUUUCUUUUUAAGAACAUAUAUGUGAAUAUAAACAUAUAUAUCUAGUGAUCCAUGUUGCGUUAUUUAAAAAUAAACAAAUUAAUUAAUUAAUAAAUGAACUGUGUGCAUGUCUGUGUAGAGUAAUCCAUAUGCAUGCUUGAAUCCUGAUCACCACGAAACCAUAAUAUAAGCUACUCAAGGCCCGGAAGCUAGGAUUGAAGAGAAAAACACCCAGUCAGAUUAAGCCAAUAUAUCAAAGUUAAUACUUCGAAAUGUAAGCUUUAAGAUAGAAAAAUCACUUACUACCUUGAGCAGUCGAGCUUCUUCAAUGGCAUGAAGCUUUUAGCAUGAGAUUGACUGCAUCACAACUAAAAUUUUCUCUUGGAAACUACAUAAGGAAUAGCAUGUAUACCUAUAACGUUGAGAAAGUACGCCAAUUUUUUCCUUCUGCACAUUCAUGUUUAAAAGUAAUCCUCAAAUGAACUUGCCCACAAUGAAAUGCAAUUUGAGGUAGUCGAGUGUGUUCCAUUUCCAUUCCAUGGGAAUUACUACUAAACUUUGAGAUGGUAAAGGAUUCAUGAAAUUUUUUACUUUUGAGAUAGCCUCUUUAACAUUUCUCGACUAUAACAAUGAGGGAAUACUUCACCUUGUAUCAAACAAGGGAGAGCGAAAAUCAACUACUAAUAGCAUCACAGAGCCAGCAGAAGAUUGAGGAGGCCAUGAAGAGGAGAGAGAAAAUACACUCUUUUUUUUUGUAAGGACAGAGAUAAUACAUUCAGUAAGGGGUACUGAUGUUUAUAUGCAAUGCUGAUUAGGUUUAAAUAGUCCUAUUUAUUCUGUACAGUGCCAAUAUUACCACCCGUUAGUACACUUUCAAGACACUGUACUCCAGUGUGUGCGCUAUGCAGUACGUAGUACUCCUCAUUUUUUGGGGAAAUUCAUUAUUGGUCUUCAUAUCUUCUUUAUUUUCCUUUUCCUCAUUGUGCCACGUGUUUAAAUCACUAAUUGUAGGUAAUCUUUCAAUUUAAUUAAAUCUUAUGUAAAAAAAGAUAUUUAAAUAUCAUUUAGUAUUACAAGAUAGUGAUAUUCCUCUUUAGUAUAAAAUUUUUAUAAUUAAAAGCGUUCAGUUUUUUAAUCUUCAUUUGAAUACUAUCUAUAAAGAAAAAUUAUUCGAAUAAGAGAUCGUUUAUGCAUUCAAAUGUACAAAAUGCAUCGACAGUGUGAGAACGAAUUAAUAUAUUUUUGAUGAAGUACAAUUAUUGAAUACAUUUGAAUGAUCAAAUGAUAUAUGAUUCAAAAUACAUAUUAAGAUAAUAAAUAUAAGUGAAUUGUUAUUAGCACUCCAAGAAUCUUAUUAUACACUCUAAAUUUUCUAUAUUUUGAAUGAAAAAUAAAUUUAUGAAGAGUGUAGAAUGAGAUUUUUUAAUGCUAAUAACACUUCUCUAAAUAUAAUUAUGAAAUUAAUAAAGUAAAGAUACAUGACCUCGUGAAUGAUGUAUGUAUUAUUCAAAAAAUUAUUAAAAACAAAUUGAAAAAGGACGCUGUUGUUGCCACCACUUAUGCAAUGAUCGUCGCUGCCAUCACCAACCCCCAACACCCCAUUACAGCUCAUAAAAGCACAUCAUAAGCAAUUUAUGAAAUAAAUUUACUGGAAUACUAAUUUCCCCCUUAGUUUAGGUCACCAAUGUUUAAAUUUAGGGGUGUGAUAUGCACAUACCUUUUUUUGCUUCUCUCACACUUUUUUUGUUGUUGUCGAAUCAGAUGAAUUGAAGAAGAUCAAUUGACAGAAAUUAACAAGGGGUGUAUGAAAAGUAAAAAUGGAUGUGUAGAUAACACAUCCCUAAAUUUAUCACAACUUUCAUUCCAAAUUUAAUUUUUAUGCGUAGUUUUGUUUGUUCAAAUUUACUUUGACAUUUCAAUUAGUAUUAAAAUCUAAUUUAAAUUUUAGCGUUCAAGCUAGAAAAAGUGUUCCAUUUAAUAUUUAAUCUCAGUUUUUCUCUUUAUUCUUUUAUUCCGAUUUGGUUGCAUCGUAUCUCCAUUUUUCUCGGUGUUGUAUGUUCAUAAGGCCUGGGAAACGUUGGCACGGAGUGAAGGGUACUCACUUUUUGGCCCAAAAUGCAUAAGGCAUGUAGAUAUGUUAAUCAAAUUUUGUAAACUAAAGGAUAUAGAAGUUGAUACUUAGAUUAUAAUUUAAGAUAAUACUAAAGAGACUAAAUUUGCAAACUAAAUGAUGUGUCACCAAUAAAAAUAAGCACGUUUAUCAACGCUUAAGUAAUAAAUCAAUCAUCAACUUUCAUGUCCUUUAGUUUCCAAAAUUUAAUAUACAAAUUUAGUCUCCCAAGCAUUACUCUAUUACUUAAGUAUUGAUUAACAGACUUAUUUCUUAUGGUGACAUAUUAUUUAAUUUACAAAUUUAGUCAACCCAACAUUACUCUUUUGAAAUUGUCUUGUCCACUGAUAUAAUUCUAUUUUUCUUGUGAUCAAAACUUCAAAUGUUAGCAAGUCGCACGUAAAGUCACUUCUGAGAGAAUGUGCUCACAUUGUAGUUGAAAGAUUAUGUGGCUAGCAACAUUACAAAUUUAAUUUGGUAUAAUUUAAAAUAUAGAUUGAGGAAAAAAUGAUCACAUUAACUAGAAACUGAAAAGGUUUCAGCACAGUUUGUUCAAGCAAGAAACUCAAUUUUGAUGCUACCGAUCUUAACAGCCUGAGCGCCGUACCUGGGCACUAAAGUCACCACCACACUCUCAUCAUCUUCAGCACCCAAAUCCUCCAACAGGUCCGUUAACCCCAACCUUAAACAACUCUUGCUCUUUUCCUUCUGCUUAUGUGGAACACUCACAAAACUCCCAGCAAACUCGCUCUUGUCGGGUCCACUCGGUGCCGCAUCCUCAUCGUCCACGUCAUUCACAUACACAUCAAACUUCACAGCCACAUCUUUGUCAAGCUCAAUCCCCUGAAUCACCAGUAUCUCCUCCUCAUCCUCUUUCUCCUUCUUGCUCCUCUUCUUCGGCUUCGGCCUUGACACCACCGUACUUAUCUUUGUCUCCAAAUUUAUUGGAAAAUCUUUACCCGCCACCACCUUCCCCGAUGACGUCGUCUCAGCGGCCUUCGCCACUCCAGCCGCCUUUGCCUUUCUCGCAAGCUUUGUCCGACGUGGCGUCGGUCUAGACUUGAGCCAUGGAAUCUCAACAUCUUCAUACGUAUACCCUAGCUUUUUAUUAUCAAGAGUGUCCCUCACCGUGACCCUAACAAGCUCAGCAUUCUCGUCAUAAAACAAAAACCCCGUAUCCAACCAAUCCUUAUCGUUAAUAUCUUUAUUUUUAGUCCCUAUACUUUUCCAAAUAUUCCACAUUCGAUCUAUAUUCGAAUGGUGCGAAAAAAAUAUUGGAUCCCUUGCAGCGGAGUAAAAAUUCCCCAUGUCUUCAAAAUUAGGUUGCGUGUUAUCUCCGGUCCAUGUAUGAACCGGACCAUGUGGGGUCGUUUCGAUUGAACCGGCCCCUGGAUCUGGUUCGGUGCCAGCCCUGUAGGGCGAACCAAAGAACAACAGCGGUUUCUUGGAGUUGGAAACCAUCUGCCUAUACAUGAUUUUGAGGUUGGCGUCGAUUUGAGCAUCCUUGGACAUUGUUUCAUCCGUGCCGUUAAAGUCAAGAUCGAUGAGAGUCGGCGGCUGAUGGCUGGCAGCGCGGAGCUCGUCGUAAAGCGGAGAGUCCGGGUUAGCGAACAAGGCAGGGAGUUGCAUGCCAGCUGGCGCGUCCCAGUUCCAAAACGGCAACGCGAACGUCGGAUCGUCUAUGAGUUUGGCCAAGAUUCUUUCGUGGAAGUAUAGGUAGUAACGAUGGAAGGGGAAGAAAAGCCAGGAUUGAUGGAUUUGGAGCUCGAGGUUGGGGAAGCCGACUUGAUCGUACGCGCCGUCGCAAUAGGCACAGUGGAUAUCGGCUUGCUGGGUGAAGCUACGCGGAUCGUCGUCCGGGAGGGCUUUCAUGAGCUCGAUGGCUUUUGAAUAUUUUUCGAUGUAGGCUUUAUCCACGGUGUGAGCUGCCGGCCUGACGCGGAGUUUGGUAGGGGAGGGGAAUUUGAAGUCUACGAUUUUUUGGGACGUUGGCGGGCAACAGUUGGUCGGGACUGCUCCACUUGGAAAGUCCGCACCUCCGCAUUUGGCUAGGUCAGGCGGCGACACUGGCUUUGCAACAGCGAAGGGGUCGCUGCCAAGACCAGCCACUCCACCGUACAGGCUUCCGAGACCUAUAAGUACAUGUCUUCUGUCUAGGUUUACUGGAGAAAGGUUUUCAUGGUCGUGAUCGUUGGAGCUAGUGGAAGGGUUUUUGUUUUGGUCACUACUAUUAUUCGUGGCUUUGCAUGAGACGGCUUGUAAAUUGGAAUGCCUAGGGUUUUCAAAUAAGGAAAUUCGGUGAUACUUUUGGGAGAAAGGGAAGAGAGAAGUUGUGGGGAUGAUACUUGUGGUGGAGGUGACGAGUGGAGCUGACAUAGAAGCCAUGGUUACUUGACUCUGAAUACUACGUUGUAUAGGCUUUGCUUUUAUAAUGUGUUCUAGGUUUUACUUUUCUUUGCACAGGUGGCAGGCCGUACACAUUGGCGGUCCUUAAGGGUUUGACGAGGAAUACUACGUAGUCAUUUAGUACAGGGCAACCAUGCACUAUAGCACGUGGCAUGUAAUAUUUACGUAGUCUCAGAAGGUGAAGCGGUUUUGGGCUUCUUGUGUACCAAUAAUAUUUACGUACUCAUUAUUCCACUGGAUGGAUUGCGUGCACGUGAUCUUUAUUCAAACAAAUCACUAUUGACCAUAUAUUGCAAUUGGUUAAUGUUAGGCAAAUUAAAUUUUUACAUCAAAUAAUGUGGUUGCUGAUUAUUGAAUUAUUAUUUAAGUUUGAUUAAUGUGCUUAUUUUUUAUCGGUAAUACAUCAUUUGAUUUGCAAAUUUGAUUUACCUAAUAUUACCAGUUAUAAUUUGUAUAAAUGGACUGGUACCUAACAUUACCAAUUGUAAUUUGUAUAAAUGGACUCGUACCUAACAUUACCGGUUGUCCCAAGAGCACACGCUACUGCUCAAGAAGCAAAGUUCUUAUUUGCCCAAAAAAAAUCAUGGUUUUUUAAUUGAUGCUCUCAUUUUAAUUUACUAGCCCCUUACUUGGCCCUUUUUAUUUAUCAUUUUAUACAUAUUAAUAUUUUGUUUGUAAAAUAUAUUAGUGUUAGUUUUAUCAAAAUUAAAAAUAAAUAAAAAACUUAGCUUUAGUAUUUAGUUAUUGAAAUUGUAAAAAAAGUGAUAAAGUAUUGGGUGCUUUGUUUGAAAAUUUUCAAAAUGAUAUUGUUUUUACCACUGAACCCCUGUUAUAUACAGUGAUGGCUAAUUUGUCAAGUUCUACGAAGUUGGGAUACCCAGCGUUUUAGCAUAUAACAUAGCUUAGUAUUUCAAGCAUAAUUAAUUAACGAAAAAUUAGUAUCCGGUCCCUAGUUUUUACUGUUCAUUGACUAAGACCUUAUUAGUUCUCAAAUUUUGAUUCAAGUCCCUAGCAUUAAUGUGAUAAUGAAUUUACAUGUUUAUUAUAUAAUUUUUUAAUAUAAAAAUUAGUAAUUAAUUUAGGGUUUAAUACUCACACCUCUAUUAAACUUCUAAUUAAUUUUCAAUUCAGACAUUUCCAAAAUAAUAAAAAAUUAAAUUAAAUUAAGUUUGUACCUAUUAGUUUUUUUUUAUAUAUAAAAAGAUUCUCAAUUUUUAAUCUUAAAUGUACAUCUUAAAUGUACCCAUUCUCAAAUAUAUCAAUUUGUUAUAUGUAAAAUGUACCCUUUUUUAAUAUAAAAUCCAUUCAAAAUUUUUAAUCCAUGUUUAAACUUAUAUGGGUACAUUCUUUUUCGUUGAUUUGAGAAUGUAUCCAUGUUUUGGUACAAUAAAUUUUUUGUUAAUUUUGGUUAAUGUACCCAUACAUAUAUGUACACACACACACACACACACACACACAAUAUAAUAGAGAGUAUAAUUUAUAUUUUAUUAUUUUUAAUCCCAUAAAUGAUGGGUUUUAUUUAAAAUCUCAUUAAUAUAAACAAUUAUAAAUUUCAAUUUUUAAUUUUUAAUUUAAAAAAUAUAGUAACUUACAUUAUUACAUUAAUGUCAGGGACCUCAAUAAAAAACUAAAAACUAACAAGGUUUCAAUCAAAGAAUAUUGAUAGCUAGGGACCACAUCCAAAGUGUCCCUUAAUUAAAGGGUAAAUUACAUAGUAACCCCUCAGGUUUGAUGUCUAUUACAACCCCAUACAACAUCUUUAAAACAUUUCACUUUCAUACCUCAAGUACUAUUUUAUUUCAAUAUAAUACAUCUGUUAGAUUUUCCAUCCAUUAAUCCGUUAAAUGCUGACAUGGAUACCACAUUUGUGCCACGUGGCUGCCAAAUGCGUGUCAUGUGGCAAAAAUAAUAAUUUUUAAAUUUAAAAAAAAAUGAAUCUUCAACCCAAAAAAAAAAAAAAAAAAAAAACCCCAAACCCAGAUCCCAUCAACCCCCCCCAAACGAUUAUCCCUUCCCCAUAUCCCCCAUCCCACCCCCCAACCCCCCCUCUGCGACCAACCUUACCAUAGCGCCCCCCAACCUCGCGACCCACCUCACUCAAGGCCCUAAUCCACACUACCUACAACCCAGAAACGAAAAAAAAAAACAAAAAACAAAAAACUCAUCUCCCUUUCCCUGCAACCCAAAUCCCAUCUUCCCUAAUGGGUAUGGAUUUAAGAAGUGGGGUGUGUAGAGGAGGGAAGAGGGUGGGUGCGGAGGAUGGGUAUGGUGGGUUGCAAGGAAGGGGGGUCGGGUAAGAUGAAGAUGGGUUUUUUUUUUCUCUCUCUCUUCUUCUUCUUCUGGGUUGCAAGUUGUAGGUUGGGGUUUUUUUUUGGGGGGGGGGGGGAGGGAGGGAGGGAAGACGACGUGGGGUUUGGUUUUUUUUUUUUAAUUUAUUUAGAAGAUUUAGGUUUUUUGAAAAAAAAAAAAAAAUUCCACGUGGCACAAAUGUGGCAGCCACGUCAGCAUUUAACAGAUUAAUAGAUGGAAAAUCUAACGGAUGUAUUAUAUUGAAAUAAAAUAGUACUUGAGGUUAGAAAGUGAAAUGUGUUGAUGCACAAAACCGAAGGUCUUUGAACAACGUAAAUCCGAUCGUGAAUAUGCAAGUAAUGUAAAUAACACAAGAUGUAUCGUGGUUCACUCCAAUGUUUGGGCUACGUCCACACUGAUUAUUGUAUUUCUCUGAGAGGUGAGGGGGAGAGCUUUGAGAAAGCUUAGAGCUUAGGGGAUGUGAGAAGGCUUAAGAAUUGGCCUCCCUUAUUUGUGAGGGUGAUGAGUCCUUUUAUAGAAUAAGGGAUCCUCACUUAUUACAUAUUUGCCCAUUCCUUUAUUACAUAAUUACAUUUAAGUCCCCUGAGUACUUGUACAAGGUCUAAAUACGGAGGCCCUAAGUAUGGUACAAACAGUAGUCCCCCAAGUCUUCAGUCAAGAGAGUCUUUUGGCUAGAGACUUGAAAUUCUGUCCAUGUGUGAGCCGAAAUAACUAGAUGUCGUCUAGAACUGAUAUUUGAUAUGCGGCAGUGCCCAUUUUGAAAUAAUGCUCAACUAGAAGUAGCACAUGCUGCGAGGCUGCUCUGCUUGUGUUGCCUUGGUUGGCUCGACUUGUGGCGUUGAAGGUGAGAGAGUCCCUUUUAUAGAAUAAGGGCUCGCUCCUCAUUACAAAGAUGAUGGGUUAGUUGGUGCUUGCGGUGAGGCGGAUGCUCAGCUGGCGGCGAUGCUCUCUAAUGAUAGUGAGGGAGUCCAUUUUAUAGAAUAAGGGAUCGCUCCUCAAUACAUAAAUAAUAGGUGCUCUCUAAUGAAAGUAAGGGAGUCCCUUUUAUAGAAUAAGGGCUCACUCUUCAAUACAUAAAUAAUGGGCUAAGUCCCCUAAGUAUUUUUUAUGAGGCCUAAUUGAGGCCCAAUAUAUGGUACAUAAUGUAGUCCCCCAAGUCUUCGGUCAAUAGAGUCUGUUGGCUGGAGACUUCAAAUUGAAUCCAUGUAUGGGCCGAAGUGGCGGUUGUUCGGAAGCGGUAUUUGUAUACCCUGCACUGAAGCUUUAUAGGUGAAGCUUUGCAAGUGAAGCUUUGAAGCUGGAGCUCAGUAAAUGAAGCUUUUGAAGCUAGAGCUUUUGUAAAUGAAACUUUUGAAGCUGGAGCUCUAUAAAGGAAGCUUUUGUAAAUGAAGCUUUUGAAGCUGAUUCACAUGAGUGAUGCUCAUGAAUGUUUAUGUUGAUUGAUAUGAGUGAUGCUUAUGGAUGUUGACAUGAGUGAUGCUCAUGGAUGUUGACGUGAUGCUCAUGAAUGUUAACAUGAGUGAUGCUCAUGAAUGUUUAUGUAUGAUUGAUAUGAGUAAUGUUCAUGAAUGUUUAUGUAUGAUUGACAUGAGUAAUGCUCAUGUAUAAUUUGAAGUACUGGGCAUACUUUUGAUUACCUGGUUGGCGAUAAUAGCGGCAGGGUGCCGAAUAAUUUUUUGUAGUACUGGGCGUACUUUUGGUCACCUGGUUGGUGAUAAUAGCAGCAGGGUGCCGAAUAAUUUUUUGUAAUACUGGUCGUCCUUUUGGUCACCUGGUUGGUGCUAUUUUGAGCUUAUGGGCCUUCGCCCUCUACACAACAUUCCAGCCUAUUUAUUUUGGGCUUUACCGUUUUUUUUAAUUACCCUAUGAUGGGGUUUAUACAGAUGUCUCCGAAAGAUAUGAAAAAUAAAUUACAUCAUUCAAAAAUAAAUCCGACCCUCUGCUCAAUGGGUCACGCCAAUAAUUCUUUUUUUUUAUGCAUGCCAUCACCACCGCAAUUAUGUCUGCUUCUUUUUAUCUUCUUUUGCUUUCUGCUUUUGCUUUUACUUUAUCUUUCUCUUUUGGCAUAUGGCAGACAACGCCAAAACGGAAUAAUGAAUUAUUAUGAGAACAUGAAUCUUAUCUUUUGCCUGGUUUUCCACUAGUGCUCGUGGUAUUCUCAGGAGAUUGGAUCUGGGGGUAGGCGACUACCCCAGCACCUUGCCCUGAUACGUAAUAGCCUGAUGUCCCACUGCCAUCUCCAUACUGGAAGGUGUACGAACAAUGGUUAUUCUGUGUGGAACAAAUAGAAUCCGAUUGAGAUUCAAGACUGCACCUUCGAUCUGAGCAAGAAAUGAAUUGUGACGUUGAUGAACUUCUAGGAGGAGAAGCAGAGGAUCUUUGACUAUGAUGAUCUUUGAAUUCCAGAUGAAACUGAAUAAAAUGCAGGUUGUGGAGCUUGAUGUGGGCCCAGAUCUGCUUGACAGCUUUGGGGCGGGAGGAUUCCUUGACACUGAGGAAGAUUCCCAGAGCUGGAGGGAUGAGAAUCGACUUCAUAAUCCCGAUGGUGGGUUUGUGCUUGGUCGAAAGAUCAUUUCUGGCAGGGGAAAACAUGUACCAUACCUAUUGCAAAUCUUGCAAAUUCUCUGCUUCUCCAUGGAAGAUGAAGAGCAUCGAAUCUCUGUUUUCUCUCUCUCUCUCUAAAACGUUUUCGUUAUAGAGUGCCCCAAUAGAAGUGGACGGGCAGUGAGCAUGCCAUUUAGUGCCUCCUCCAAGACAGUAACUGAUACGGUGGUCUUUAUUGGCACUCCAAGUUUACUAAAAAGGGCAGCAAAAAUAGUAUUUACAGCACCCAAACUUGAAAGAUCUAGCUCCAACUAGUGGCUUUCUGUUUCAACAGCCUGAAAGCCGGCAGUGUCAUACCGACGCCGUUUGUCUGGAUCAAAUAAUAUAUUAUAAGAAAACAUGACCUUCUUGAAGAUAUCAGCUGUUUUAGAGUCAUUAGCAUUUUUGUCAGGAUGGUACUUGAGAGCCAUUUUCCGGUAAGCACUUUUGAUUUCCUGGUUGGUGGAAUUCCUAUUGAGGCCGAGGACCGCAUAAGGGUUUUGUCGGAGCUGCUUCUUAGCUUCUUGCUUCUCCGAUUUUGAUCGGCUGCCCUGCAUUUUUGAAAUUGACGGUCAAUUUCUUCACAAAACCCUAGAAAUUGCCUCUCGAUUACCUCCGAAACACAUAAUUCACGACUCUUGGUUGAAAUUUUUUUUUUUCAUUUCAAAGAAGUGGCGGAGGUAAAUCAGUUGUCACAUAGCACCGGAGCAUGAGGAAAACCUAGAAAACCAAGAGGCAGAGAGACUCCAUGCACAUCUAACCUGGAACCUUGCAGGAGAGAGCAGAGAGAAAGAGACAAGAAAGAUUGAGGGAGAAGCGAUCUUGGUGCAUCGUCUGUGAUUCCUUGGUGAUUUGCUCGAUCGGGACUCUGAAUUCGUGCAAGUCAUUGCUGUUAAGCAAGAAUCGCGAGGAGUCGGAGAGCUUGGAAAUCGAGAAGGAGAGAGGGCCUUUAGUCAGGGCUUGGAGGGUGUCGGACUCCGUCGGCCAAGAUUGGUGCACGGUCACGGCGUCUGGGCCCAUGGCGGUUGUGUAAAUGGGGGAGGUUCUAGGAGUCCAAGAAAGAAGAAGAAGCAGCGACCAUAGAUCUGGGAGUCCAUGGCGCUUGAAAGAUACGGCGAACAAGUCGGACUUGCUGCUGGGCAGCUGGCGGUGAUAAUGUUGGUGCAUGGGUUUUGGAGUGGGAGUGUUUGGAAUGGGUUUUUUGUUUAGUUUCUAUGUGUUUUUUCACAGAGAGAGAGAGAGAGAAGUGAUGGUGUUUAAGGGAUGAGUUUUGGAGCUUAGUGAAUGCUUUUUCUGGAAAAGCCCAGUGAGGUUUGUGGGUUUUUGCAGAUUUUGCAGAUUCGCGGUGGAGGUGAAAGAAUGAAAGAGAACCGACACAACUUUUCGUAUUGAUUCCCACAUACGGCGCCAAAUGUUGAUGCACAAAACCGGAGGUCUUGGAACAACGCAAAUCCGACCGUGAAUCUGCAAGUAAUGUAAAUAACACAAGAUGUAUCGUGGUUCACCCCAAUGUUUAGGCUAUGUCCACACUGAUUAUUGUAUUUCUCUGAGAGGUGAGGGAGAGCUUUGAGAGAGCUUAGAGCUUAGGGGAUGUGAGAAGGCUUAGGAAUUGGCCUCCCUUAUUUGUGAGGGUGAGAAGUCCUUUUAUAGAAUAAGGGUUCCUCACUUAUUACAUAUUUGCCCAUUCCUUUAUUACAUAAUUACAUUUAAGUCCCCCGAGUAUUUGUACGAGGUCUAAAUACGGAGGCCCUAAGUAUGGUACAAACAAAAUGUUUUAAAGAUGUUGUAUGGGGUUGUAAUAGACCUCAAACUUGAGGGGUUACUAUGUAAUUUACCCUUAAUUAAAAUAAGGGCAAAUGAAGAGGAUGGUUGAACUUGUUAAGUUUCUUAAGUGUGUCUAAUUUAAGUGUGUUGUUAAUAAACAUUUAUUAUGGAGGCAAAGAGAGGGAAGGUGCGGCAUAGAAAGAGAAGAGAGAGAUAUGUAAUUGUGAGUUGUGUUUUAUUCCAUCCCAUUGUGCAUUUAUUUAUAUUAGUUGGGAAAGUUAAUUCUUUAACCUUUUAGGAUUACAACUCUAAUAGGAAAAUAUAUAAUCUAAAAGAUAUGGUAGAAUCCCAUAAGAAUAUCCUAGAUAUGUUAGGAUUUACACAAUCAUAUUCCUAUUCCAAUAGGACUGCAAAACAUUUGUAUUUUUUUAUAAUUUUUUUGAUAAUUUGUUGGCAUUUUCAAUUUUUGUUAACAUUGAAAAUAUAACGGUUCAGAUGAAAAACCUUUGGAAAUCCAACAUUGAAAAUAUAACAGUUUGACGUUGGGCUGUGGUGAAGGAGGCUGGGCUGUCACGUGGGUGGGGCCCUCCCUCUCCCACUUGGUGAUUCAAAGGGCGCAGGCCCGUGCAACAAUUGAGGCAGCCCAUAGAGAUCCUGCGUUUCACCCAUUUGCCAUUUUUUCCACCGCUGGAGCACCAAAAUUCGGUCCAAAGGCAGGGGUUCCAAUUGCAUGGGCAAUUUGGUUUCCGCUGGAGGUGCUCUUUGUCGACUUUGUUUAUUCUUUCUUUUUAGCUUUGCAGUAAUAUUGAAGUAAUCACUCCAAUUGUAUCCGAACUUUUGUUGUCCAUCAAUUUGUAUCAAAACUAUUGGUUAAUUUACAUAUUCAGACUAACCUUCUCAUUAUUUUUAGUAUUUUUAUCAUAAAUAAUAUCUAAAAUAAUCACAUUUUAUUCAACAACCACUCAAUUAAAAAUUAAUUAAUGUUGUUUCUAAACCAUUACAUCGAGCUUUUGUAAAUACACAUCAAUAUUGCAGCGAUCCGAGGCAUUGUUUUCUACGCCUUGGAUUUGGCGAAUUGGAAAAGAGAAGAGUUACGAGUAAAAGUCCCUCACAUUAAGAGGGCUCCUCCUCGGGGAGAUGAAGAUGAUGAUCUUUUGUUUUUGUUUCUUAAUGAUUAAUCCACGCAGCAACAUAUAAUUAGAUUGUUGGGAUCUACUCAAGUUCCAUAUCACGCACUAAUAUAAAGUUUGACAAACGAAACGAAAUAUGUGCUCUCGAAAGCAAAAUGAGGGCACUGCUCCAAGAACAGGAAGGGCUCCUUGUCGAGGUUGCCAUCCGCCAUGAGGGAAAACCGGAAGAAGUUAGACAACAAUGAUGACAUCGAUUUGCAACACCCAUAUUGGGACAUCAAACUGUGAAAUAAAUACUCAAAACUCCUGGAAAGUCCUCGGGACAACAAACUUUUAUCUCCUUCAAAUAUUUCAUUUUACCAAGUUUUAUGUUUGAAGGGAGGGAAAAAAAGAGAUGAGAGAAUCCUACUCCUUAUUCUUGAAUAUAUUCAGGAAUAACUAUUGAAUAAAGAGAGAAUGGAAGGGGAUCGAAAGAGGAGGGAAGAUAAUUCUAGUCCCAAACAUAAAAAGGACCACAACUUUUAAAUUAUCAGCACGAUCAUCAUCUGAUUGAAGAGACCAUUCAUUGUGAAACAUAUCGUCAAUCAAUAUGUCUAUAUCUAUUUAUAUACCACAUUUUUGGAGUAGGAUUCUCCCCCCUCCUAUUACCAUCCCCUUCCAUCCCCUUCCAUCCCCUCCUUUCAUACUUUUUUUUUUCUUAUUCUCUAUAUAAAAAAUUCAAAACAAGAUGUAGAUGUGUCGUAAUCGCAAUAGUUUAAAUAAAAGGAGAUGGAAGGAGAGAUAAAUUACGAGGGGAGAGAAUCUUACUCCCACAUUUUUCUUCUUCAUAAACAAAAGAGAGGUUCUAGAUUACUUGACUCUAUGCCUCAUUUUUUUCAUCAAGUAUUUGUGCUAAACGGGUUCAGUUUCAAGUAUUUUAGUUUUUUGUCAAAAUUGAGAAAACUGAAAAUCAAACAUUAAUAUGCAAAAUUAAAAAAUCAACACAUAAUUAUUUAGAAAUCGCAAUAGAAAAGAAAAAAUGGAGGUUUGUGAUGAAAAAUCUUUUAUACUAAGUAAUUUAGUAUCCUUAUGCAUGAAGAUAAUCAAUUCGUUCGUUAUGGUCAGACUCUUUUUGAAUUUUUGAACACAUUCUCCAUAGGGCCUUCUUAUUUGUUCCUUCUCCGAGUUGGGGUUAUGGAAGAAGUAAAAGAAGGAACCAAGAAGAAAGUAUUGGCAACAACCGAUUUCGUUACGGGACAACUCUUGAUAUUCAUAUCGAUCUAUUAUGUACCUUUGCAUCUAGCAUUAGACAAUAACUGUCAUAGCUUUACCAUAUUUUUUUGUUUCAUUUCUUCUGAAACAAUAACACACACUUUUUUAUUAUGUGUCUAAUACUAGGAAUUCAAUACAUAAUCUUAGCAUUCAAUAGUUAUUCCUGAAUAAUUUCAUUUUUCAAUUGAUCAACCAUUUCAUUUUUCCAAGUUCAAUCAAUGUUAGUCACAUUAGUCAACAUUUAUAUAUUUUGAUGCAACAACAAUAUGUUAUUUGUAACAAGUGAUUUUGCUAGUUGGUUAAUUGGUCACAAGUUAAUGUUCGGUUCAGUUCAGCUUUUCUCUCGAUUUUUUGCGAUUCGGUUUUUUCGAUUCUCUUUAGAUUCGGUUCGAUUUUGUUUUUUUAUUUAUACUUAAUUUUUUUUAAUCUGAAAACACCAAGAACAACACAAGCAUACUCAAUCAAACAACUAUCCUUCUCCACAAAUCACAGUAAUAAUUACAUUCAUUUAGCUAAAAUGCAAAUAACUAACAAACUCACAAAAAUCGAAUAAAAACUACAAAUUGCUUACUCUUUUUCUUUGGGUUUCACUCGAAAAGUGUCGGUAAAAUUUAGGGUUUGCAAGAACGCAACCGAAAUCCAAAACGGAGGCUCUGUGGCUUGUGGGCUGCUAUUGAGUUCCAGUACGGAAAACCUUGCUUACUCUCUAUCACGGUACAAAGUAUCAGUACCUUUAGCACUGUAUUUGGUAGAACCAAAUUAAAAGCUAACAUCAAUAACAACUACCAGAGACAUAAGCUCUUAUCAAUGCUUUGGAAACAGUCAUGUAUCUCCAAGUGUAAUGAUAUAAUUAGUAAGAAAUUUAAAAGAAAAAUGGUGAUUUCAUAUAAAAUCAAUAAAAAGUUACAAUAUUGACAAUAUAUCAACAAUUUUUAUGGGGUAAAUUACAUAGGACCCCCUCAGGUUUGAGGUCUAUUACAACCCCAUACAACAUCUUUAAAAUAUUUCACUUUCAUACCUCACCUACUAUUUUAUUUCAAUAUAGUACCUCCAUUACAUUUUCCAUCAAUUGAUCCAUUAAGAGCUGAAUUGGUUGCCACAUUUGACACGCCCCGAUCCCGAUAUCCUCGGGAUAUCAGGAUGGUCACGUGCUGGCCGACACCCGAGGGUGACGAAAGCCAUUUAUUGAGUGCAAUUGCUGAAAAUAAAGGAUAGAUAAAACUUAUAAAUGUAAAAGAAUAAGGAAUAUGCAUUUAAGGAACGUGUUCAGAGCAUACAACUAACUAGAACACUAAAAGAAUGAUAUAAAAUGGAAUGAAUAAAAGAAUGAGUCUUACACCAAGAGGACUCGAAGAUGCCGAUGCGGAAGUACCUUGAUUGUCGGGAUUGUACGCCUCGAUCCUAAAUCCUGAAGGGGGCGCAAAACAAACAUGAGUGGACCAAGUUGAUAUAUAUAUAAUAAAACAGUUAUCAAUAUACUAACCCCCAGGUUUAUGAAAACAAAUAUAUAAUGAUGAACAUAGGUUUUCCGAAACCUAGCAUGAUGUGCAGUAUCUCAAAUCAUAACUCAUAUAUAAUAAUCACUAGUGAAUUGUCCGAUAACCUGCAGGCCCCAUGCCGGCUCCCCGUCUCUGAGCAGACAGUCAGAGGAAAAUACACUUCAGGCCCCAUGCCGGCUCCCCGUCCCUGUGCUAAAUAGCCAGAGGAAACACACUCCAGGCCCUAUGCCAACACCAAACCGUCGCCCGGGACGGACCGGAAUCUAUUCCUACGUCCCGUAGCGGAAAUGACCACUAGGUAAGUACAAAACCAUUGAACAUACAUAUAUUGAAAAACAACUUCAUAGUAUAAAGUCAUCCAUCAUCUAUACUAUAAAGAGGUGUUCGAAACAUGUUCUAAAUAUCAUAUCGUCAUCCAUCAGAUAUUCUAUAAGAACACGGGUUAUAGGAAAAAUAGUAAUAAUUCAAGGUAGCCUCAGUAAGCAUGUUAUCUCAAAACGUUUCAUAAAACGUAAUCAUUAAAUCAUGCAUUUCAUGUAUGCAUUUCUACUAUUAAAACAUGCUUUUGAAGGGGUCCACUCACAGUACUUAGCCGCCGAAGAGCCACGCAAACUAACGUCACCAAUAUUGCCCCUAAGCACAUAAAUGGUCCAAUUAAUAAAACUAUAUAAUAGCAAUUGGAUUUGGGAAAACGGACGUUGGAAACGGAUUCAGAACGUCGAAUUACCCUAAGAAGGGUCCCGGACGAAAACCCGAAAAGUCAACUCUAAAGUCAAUGUUGACCGGAGGUCAACGGUCAAAUUAGGUCUAACGGGUUUUAGGCUUGAAAUCCGGAUUAGGGUUUAGGUUAAAUAGGAUUAGGAUUUAUUGGGUUUUGGAAUUCUAAGGUUUUUGGGUUAAAAGGGUUUAGGGUGAAAAUGGGUGGUUUGGGCUUAAUCCCAAACUCACACACAACACACACACACACUACACAAACCCUAAAACACACACACACACACGGGCUGCACUAGGGCAGCCCUCACAACACUUCACAAAGGCCCUAAGGCCUUAUUAAAGGACAGGGCUUUAAGCCCUUUAAAGGAUACUGGCCCAAGGCCCGUCAAAAUAAGGCCCGAGGCCUUUGGGUUUUAAAAAGAACAAGAACAAAUUUAAAAGAAAAGGGGCUGGGGUCUACUGGGCUAAGAUAUAACGGGCUUAAGGCCCGUGGGGUUUUCUAAAGGGCCUGAGAGGCCUGGGUUUGUCGAAGGAGAAGGCCGGAAUUUCGGCCGGAAAACCACCCAACUUUAAAUGGCCAUAACUUUGUCAAUACUCAACGAAAUCAAGCAAGACAAAAAUGAAAGUUGUAGCCCUUGAAGCGACGAAGAGAAUGGUUCCUCACACGACGUCUAACUCGCCGUGGUUUGGCCGGAAAAUGCCUCGAAAUCCGUCGGACUCGCCGGAAACUGGGUAAGAUUCAAAUGAGUAUAACUUCUUCAAUACUCAACGAAAUUAAGUGAAACAAAAAGGAAAGUUGUAUUACUCGACGAGACGAAGAGAUUGAUACCUUACACGCCGGCCAACUCGCUGUGGUUUGGCCGGAAAUGGCCUCGAAAGGGGCGGUGCUCGCCGGAGCUUACUCCGUGCCGUCGAACUCGCAGGGUAGGGUCCGGGGUUCGUUGCAAGCCUCUCUUCGAUGGUGACUCGGUCCUAGUGAGUCCAGGGGAAGAGAGAGAUGCGAAAGGUUGAGGGAGAGAGAGACGGGAGAGCUGAGAAAGAGAGAGCUACGGGAGGGAGAAACGAAGAAGAAGAAGAGAGAGAUCAGAAAACAUAAAAAAAAUAAACAAGGUGGGCCCCACGGGCUCACCAAUUAAGGCUUUAAAACAAUUUUAAAAUAUAAAAGAGGGUUGGGGUGUUUCAACAUUUGUACCACGUGGCAAAAAAAAAACCUAAAUCUUCUAUACAAAAAAACUAAAAAAACCAAAAAAAGCAAAAUCGAACACUCCACCCCGCAAAAAUCCUAGCAUCUUCCUUUUAUUCCCCACAACCCCAAAUUCCCCCCCAAAACCCCUAAAACCCAAACCCUAAUUCCUCCCCCACAUGAAGAAAAUCCCAGUCCAAUUCAAUCCCAAUUACCUCAAAUCCCACCAUAGAAACCCUAAAUUUUGGUUCCUCAAUCCCUAGAUUUCCCACGCCUCUGUUGCCUACACCUUAUCAAUCUUUAGCUUUCUCCCUCAUCCCCUCCAUGAACGACACUUUCUCUCAUCCGCUGUUCCCCAGCAACGGCACCGAUACCUACGAGGCCUGGUACGGCAACAUCCAGUACCUUCUCAACAUCUCCGCCAUCGGCUCAUUCUUAUGUGUCUUCUUUUUCACCUUGGUCAAGCUUUGAAGCGAUCGCCGCCGCAUGCCCGGCUCGUCCUCCCUCGUUGCUAAGCUCUUCGCAGUGUGGUAUGCUACCUGUCGAGAGAUUAUGCUCCCAUGUGGCGCUGAGGCCAUAAUACUCACGCACCCAUCUACACACCCACACCACCACUACCGUGGACUCUCUCUCACUCUCCCUCGUCUUUGUAGAGCUAGGUGAAGCCUAGAAACCGAGAACUAGCUCCAGCAAACCCCGUGAGUUUCGAGCCAGAUCCCUGCCGACUCCGACCAUCCCAUGACCAAUCUAAGGUACAAAACAUUUCCCCUUGACUCUAUGCUCUUUUUCGUAUGUAGAUCGUAGGGAAAAGCCCACAGAAUGAGAGAGAAUAGUGACCUGAGAGAGUCCACGGUGAUGGUGGUGUGUAGAUGAGUGCGUGCGUGGGUGUACUGUCGGGGAUAGAGUCUGAGAGAGAUAGAGAGUGAAAGAGUCUGAGAGAAGAGUGACUUGCGAGAGUGAGAGAUUCGAGAGAGACUCGGGAAAAGAUUUAUGGGUUUGGGUUUUUCUGGUUUUUUAUUUUUAUAAUAAUAGGGUUAAUAUUAUAAUAUUUUUAAUGUAUAAAAAUUUCUUUUUUGCCACGUGGCAGCCACAUCAGCACAAAUGUGGUAGUUGUAGAUGCAAAUUUCUUCCUCUUGAUCUUGGACAAUUUUGCACCUACAAAACAAUUAACACCUUAGGUUAAGGCCAAAAGCCUCACACACCCACAAUGAAUGGGGGGCUUUGGCCGAAGAACCUCUGUUGCCAAAGUUAGAAUUUAGAGAGAAAGAGUCUUUACAGAAUUUUGGGAUUUUUGCCAAAGUGUUGGAAUGGCUUUCUGGUGAGAACGGGAUCACUUUUAUAAGGAUAGGAAGUGGUCGGCCUAGCUAGGGUUUUUGGGUUUAAUUUAGGUUUAAUUCUUCAAUUUAUUUGGCUAAUUAAACCCUAAAGAAUAAAUUGGUGGUUACAAAAUUGAUUAUUUGUAUAAAUGGGGUAAUAAAAUGGAGAAAAGUGAAAAAGGUUAGGAAAAGGGAGGUAGCUAGCUUCUUAGUAGUUUUAGGUGUGAGUGGGUGUUUUAAUUGAUAAUUAAGGGAUUGAUUAGGUAAUUAAUCCCUUAAUUAAACAAUUUUUAGGGAAUAUGAAAGGAAAUUAUUAUUUAGCUAAUUGAUUAGCUAAAUAAUGGAAUACAAAAUAUAUAGAAUAAAUUAGGCUUUAGGUAUUACCUUAUAGAAAUGAUUUGAUGAAAUAGGCUUUAAAUUGUUAACUAUUUUGGGCACUUUUGACUUGGUUGAGGAUGAUUGUCUGCCGCUCGCACGUAGGAAUCUCGAUAUGCCUUAAGGGUAUUUUUGUCCUCUUUUACCCAAAAAUCCACGUGUCGCCUUGUGAUUAUUUUUGGCUCCACAAAUGCCCCCACACCUGUUGGGCUGCUCGCAGAAAAUGGCAGCAGGUGUAGAGAUCAUCUUGCUUUAGGAAACGUAGGACUACUUCCUCUUUAGAUGUAGAUUCUCUCUUUAAUAGGAAAUUAGGUUCUUCUAGGAAAGGGAAAUAAAUUUCUGUUAAAGCCUAUUUAAGUCUACCUUAAGUGGGUUAUUAAAUCAACUUUGGAGAGCGAUUUCUUAUACCCUACAAGAGAGAGGGAGCUUAGAGAAUAUUUGUUCCCCCUCUUCUAGCAAUCUUCUACAUCUUUCCCGUGCAAAGGAUCGUCUUUCGUUGAUUUCUUCGUCUUCUCCGUGCCGCACCGAUGUAAGAAAAAUUUAAUUUUUUGCUUAUCUUCUUCUUGGAUAGUACUAUUACAGGGCAACCGUUAAGGUAGUGCGGCACGUCUACUGGCAGGGGCUAGGAGUUGGCUCGGCAUCGGUCGAUGAGGCAUUAUGGCAGGGGCCACUGCUUAGGCUGUUUGGCUUGGCUAGAGCCAAUGGCAGCUUGUGCGGCUGGGGUCGCGGAUUGUGGCGUUGGGGCGCAAUGCUAGGCGAGCCACAUGGUUAAUGUCCUUUAGGCUCUUAGACCUUACUCGGGCCAGGCUAGCGACUGAAAGAAAUGAGGAGGUCGUGGGCCUCAUGGGUUGUUGGAAUGUUGGGCAUGCAGGCCUCCUGUCUGCUAGAAUGCUAGGUUGAGCUCCUCUGCUGAGUACCGUGAAUGGCGUUGGCUGCUUAGUUCUUUUUACAGAGAGAAAGGUGGGCUGCUCCCGAAAGAGGAAGUAAAGAGGAUCAAGGUGGAUGCAUUGGCUCGUCUAAUCGCUGUCGUGGAACCUCCUAUGAAUGAAGAUGGAAAUAAGAGAUCUUCCCUGCCUACUCAAGAGAUGCCGAUCGAGAAAAAUUGAAGACUUUCUCCACUGCUGCUCAUGAUGAUUUGUCUGCUGUCGAUAGGCCUGUGAUUGGCAUGACUUCUUCCAAUGGGAAGAAAAAUGAGGCUGCUAGAUCUGAUCAUGUGGUGCCUUCCAUGUUGAGAAUUGCUAGUACAAUUGUUGAUAAGAUUGCUUAGCGCAAAGGUUUUAUCAUGCCCCCAGUACCGAAGUCUGUACCAGGACUUUCGUUUGGAGCAAAGUCUGGUUCACCUUUGGAGAUACUUGCUAUUAUGAAAAGUGGUAAGGUGGACUCUGCUGCUAAAGUGGCGUCAAGGCCCACUCCCUUUGUUGCUGAGACUGAUUCGCCUGCUAGGAAGGAAGAUACUACUUGUAUGGGCAGCUGUGAGAAAUCCACUAAACUUGCUUCUGGGGAGGCUGCUGAGAUCAUUGUGCUUUUGAAACUAUAUCUGCUUGAAGACAUGGACGCUUGUGCCAAGUUUGUUGAUGGCGGUAGAAAGGUUGUUUACCUAAGUUCCUUUGCGAAACAUACGACCCAAUAUAAAAUGACUGCUCUGCUUACUAGGAUGCAUAAAUAGCAAGGUUGUCAAGGAGGUGGCGAAGAUUAUGGCAGCUAAAGCUUAUUCCUCAGUCGAGGAGAUCAAAAGGUUGAAUUAUGAGCUUGUUGCUUUGAAAGAAAUGGAAGAACUGCAACACGUUCGUGUUAGUCUGUUUGAGAAGAAUGAGCAGCUAAACGGUAAGAAUGAUGGGCUUGAGGUUUCUCUAUUUUUCCGGAAGACUUGCUUACUUUUACUUUUGAGGCUUCCAUUGGUGAAGUAGUUGGAGACGUUAGUGCCCAGGCUUAGGCAACCGGGGGUGAAGCACCGGAUGAUGCCGCUGCUAAGAACGUUACGGCUGCUGAAGGUGUGGAGACCAAGUAGUCGUGGGAUGUCCAAGCUGCUGUAGUGUAGUAUUUUAGGUAGCUUUUAUGAUUUUCUUUGUUUUUCCUUGUAGCUCUUGUUUUGCUUGAACUUCUUCGGCCUUUGCUAGUUGUAUAAACAUGUUUUCCUUCGCUUUUCUUCAUCUUCGCUUCUUUUGUUCAUGCCCUAACCUUUAGACUUGAUAGACCAAUGGCAGGCAUGCUACUUUUUUAUAAGCAGACAAGCUCGCGUAGCCUAUGCAGCCGUAAAUGUUGGUGUAGAACUUUGCAAAGUUGUUAGCCAUUAGGUUGGUAACCAGAUACCUUACUUACAGAAGUAGACAAGUCCGCAUAACCACUAGGCUAUUAACCUUGACUUUCUCCAAUUCUGUAGGUUGCGUAGCAAGUAUCACAACACUUUAGGAAUUGGUAUAGGUUGCUCCGCACUUGGCAGAGGUGAAGCCUAUCGACUACGUAGCAUGUCGGCAGUGGAUAAAACUUCCAUAUAUGCGCGCUAGCUUGUUUAACCUUUCACAAGAAUGUGCGGUUGUAUAAGUCUAGCACGGUUUUACUGCUUGAAGGGCAAGCCGUAGGCAGUCUUCCGGAAUCCGUAGGCUACCUUAAUGUACUCGGUAGCAGCUUUAGGGUUCCAGGGCAGCCGUCUAUAGAGCGUACUGCGUAAUGUGCCCCAUCCGUCUCUAGCUCCCGGUUCCCCACAGAUUAGACCAAGAGACCCAAAAUCCUUCAGUUAGUUAAGCCUUGAAAAAGACCAUUGUGGCUACUUCUAGGAAUCCCGGCUCAAGCCAUCGUACAUCUAGUUAUACUAGGGUAGCCAGGCUCAUCAGCGUCUGGAUAUUCGGAGUGUAAAGUUUAUCCUCCCGUCUUAGAGAGCUGACCCAUAUGAGUGUCGGGGAAUUGGUUUACCCUCUCACACUAGAGAGUAAUUAAUUUACCCUCUCGCACUGGAGAGCAAUUAGUUUACCCUCUCGCACUGGAGAGCAUGGUUGGUCCAUCGGGGGGCGCAAUUCCUGCGAUGAGUCCCUAAGAAGGGCGCAGUCUUCUUUUGAAGUGCAGGAAUGAUUAGUUGUUAUAAGCAUGUGAUCGAGUCAAGUUGUGAUUACUUCUAAAUUCCUCAUUGAAAAACGAGUGAAACGAACGAGAACUUAGCCGUAAGGUAGGAACUGCAUAACAACUGGAUAGUCCUCAACUUGUGUGGUGGUACCCAUCGAGCUUCUUGAGUCUUCGGGCUUUGAUGUAGUGGGAGGUUACACAUGGCACCUUUUCAGAUUGUAGGCGCUCUACUGCUUUUCGAACUUUUUUUUUGUUGUGUAAUUGCUCUUGCUGCCUACUCGGCUAAUCUUAUACAGACUUUCUCGGAUGAGAUUCAUCUUUUUGGAGCUUCUCUGCUGGCAGUGAUGAAGGCUUUUCUUAGGACUAGAUCUCUGGGCUGGAACUGCCAGAUUUUGGCCUUUUUGUUGUGGCUGGAAAAGAACCACUGCUGGUAAGUUGUAAUGCAGAUGAUAGUCUGCUCGCACUUCUCCUCUGCCAAAUUUAAGCUUGUGGCCAUCUCCUUUCGGUUGCUCGUCUUUUGGUGUUGCGAUGUGCCCAUAGACAUCCAGGGAGUUUGUCUGGCCAUUUUCUUUUCUUAUUGGUAGGGGAUUUCUUGUGGCAGUCGAGGAUCAUCUUAGUGGAUGUUUUGGCCAGCCUAUUGCCUUGAGGAUAUCUUGGCGUAGACAUGUGCUGCUUGAUGCCAUAUUUUUAGAAGAAUUUCGCCAAAUCUUUGCCCACGAAUUACGGGCCGUUGUUGGUGACGAUGGAUUAAGGUAUGCCAAAUCGGCAAAUGAUGCUCUUUCAUAUGAAGCGCUCUAUGUCCGUUUGAAUUGUGAUCGUCAUGGGCUCUGCUUCUACCUAUUUGGUGAAAUAGUUGGUUGCCACGAUCAUCAUGCAUUUGCCCUUAGUAGUCUGGCUGGUGAUUAGCUGGGAAUCAGAAUGAAUUGAAAGCUUUUUCACCACCAAGUCUUUUGUCACUCGAAGGCCUGCUAGUGGGGCUUUGUACUCUGCUUCGUUGUUAGGUGCUUUGACGCUUAGAGUGAUCGCUUACUCGAGCAUUGAACCGUCUGGGGUGGCAAGAACCACGGUUACUUAUAAGCCUUUGUAGUUGGAUGCGCCGUCGACAUGCAAAUGCCAGAAAUUUCCAUUGAGGGAGUAGGUAUGGCUAAAGUGUGCUCGGCUACCUUCGAAGCGUCGUUGGGCCGCUUUGUUACAUUGUCAAGGCUAGGUUUGAAGGCGCGGUAGAGAGUCGUGGAGCUGGGGCCAUGUUACAUGUAGCAGGAGAUGCUCAACUUCCGGUAUUAGGCCACUCUAGAGCUGAAUAAUGGAGCAAAGGUCGGCUAGGGUCGUAUGACGCGCAGCAGAAGGUAGUGCUCGACUGCUAGUACAUGUUGCUCUUACGUAGAAUCUUCUGAGGCGACGAGGACAAAACUUGCUUUUAAGUGUUCCUUCUAGUGUUCGUCUGCCCUUGGCGUGUCUUUUGGGCUGAGUUGUUGCGUUCGUCAGAAAACUUUGCAUCUGCCAGGGUUUACGUCUUUAUCAUCACGGGUUUGGAUUAGGCGGAAUAGUGCGUCAUGAUGAUGACUGCGUACAUUUGAAGGUAAAACUUAAGCUUUUGGGUUACAACAACUAUCACCAAAGUUAGCUUUUGAAUUUUUAAUAGCAUCGAGGAGAGCUUUUGAACUAUAAAAUACAUGUAGUUGGGCCCCCAACUCUUCUCGCAUGACGGUACAGCUUAUUUCUACUUUAGAUACCGUCAAACAUGCGAAUAAGUCCUCUGCUGCUUCUAGGGAGGUGAUGUUGGGUACUUCUUCAAGCCCUUGAAUGUGCAUUGGCGAGCCUCAUCCCAAAGUGCAUGCUUCUCUGCCAAAGAAAAAGAGUCUACCAGAGUUAGAUAUUCUUUCAUGAUCAAUUUUCUAAAUAGCGGUGGUCUGCUGGAAGGCCUUUUUGGAAGGCUGCUCUAGCUAUUGAGUCGCUGCAUCCGACUAUCAUUGCCUUCUCUGUUUUGAAUCUCUUCACAUAGUCACGAAGUGACUCCUUUGGGUUCUUUUUUACGUCAAACAAAUGGUCGGACUUCUUUUUGAUCGAGCAAUAAGAUGAAUAUUCUUUGGUGAAAACCAAAGAAAGUUCGUAGAAAUUCUAGAUAGAUUGUGGCGGCAGGGUGUAGAACCAAUCUUGUGCCUCGCCUUCAUAGUGGUGGCGAAUAUCUUGCACAUGAGAUCAUCGUUGUUUCGAUAAAGGAUCAUUGUGCUUCGGUAGCGCUUUAAGUGUCUCUUCGGGUCUUCAUCCCCUUUGAAAGAUAUGAAAUGUUGCAUACUGAACUCGCAUGGAGGCUCUGCCAGCUCGAUCUCAUCCGUGAAGGGUGACCUGCUUAUGUUGGUCAUGUUCCGUCGUAGUGCCUCGUCGGUGACCUUGUUGCGUUAGAAAUCAUGCAAUCGCUUGAUUAAAAGUCUCUCUACUUCUUCCUGAAUUUUCAUUUGUUAGGGUAGCAGAGCUCUCGGCUGCCCCUAGCCAUAACUUACUGGUCUAGGAUGCUCUUCCAUGUGUUUGGCUCGUAUACCGUGGAUGCAGUGUAUGUGGUGCGGUCCUAGUAGGUGAGCGAGUUCUUCGCAGGCUGCUAGUUGAACUUGAGCUGGAUUGAGUGACUACUUCUCUCCGUCCGUCGUGCUGCCUACUCCAAUGUGAGGUGAAAGAUGCUCCUUGCAGGCUUAGCCACGAAUGAACACUUUACCUGGAAGGUUGCUCAUGUUGACUAUCAGAGUAUGACCCUAACCGUGAAUGUAUAUUCACCCGUGGGCUUAGUCGAGAGUGCACGCUCCUCCGCGCGCUAAGACGAGAGUAUACGUUAUCUCGGGAGCCCAAUUGGGAGUGUACACUGCCCGAACGCUCGGCUCGUGGCUGGUCGAGUGGCUGCUUGCCGAAACGCUGCGGGAAAGGUUCGUCUGCCCUUGUCCUACUUCGGGAUACCUUGUUUGGGGCACGUUGGAUUCUGGUGCAUUGCAAAAGUUGAUUCACCAAGGUUGUCUGUUGUGCAAGGGUGCUCGUAAACGCUACGACUUGUCGAGACAAGUGUUGUUCGUCAUUUGGAUUGGAAUAGCUUGGAAGGAAUGUGCCUUCUUGGGCAGUGGAAGGGUGGUAGACUCCGGGCUCGAGAUUUGAGUUGGGAAAUGUCAAAUCUACGAAAAAAUGUGGUGAGAAUGCCCCCGGCUCGAUGGUAGGUCCGGAUGGUUGAGAUAGUCUUGGGCCGACUUGGGCUGCUUGGAAAGCCACGGGAGCAGGCUGGGCCACGAGAGUGAGCUGCUCGGCAGGAGUAGGCUGGGCUACGAGAGUGGGCUGCUCGGCAGGAGCAAACUGCUUGGAGUGUGAUGCACAUGGGUGCGAGGCUUGGGCUCGGCUUGGUAACACAUUGAGUUCGGGUUUGGCUUGGAGUGACAUGACUUGGGCCGUGGCCUUGGUGUCGUGAGCCUUGGAUGGCACGGCUCGGGCAGUGGUAGCUGUGCCAUGGACCUCGCCGCGGGUAGUGGUGACCGUGAUGGCCACCGCGGUGGUUGCCAUGGUGGAGCCCCGUAGUGAUGGUGCCGCUCCUAUGAUCACAUUUAGCCUCGUGGAUCGUCGUGGUCCCAUUUCUUGAAUAUUAGAAUUUUCACUUAUGGAAUUUUCUAAAUUUCUAGCCAUUAUAUUUUUCUUAUACGUUUUAUCAAAGAACCUUUGCAAAUAAAAAAUUCUAAUAAUAAGAACGUAUGAAAAAAUAUUCAAAUGGACUAGAAAAUAGAGAAAAACCUUUUUAUGCGAGAGUCUUCUACGAGUAUAGAUCUCAACUCUCAAUGAAAGCACCAAUUUGUGGAUGCAAAUUUCUUCCUCCUUGAUCCUAGACAAUUUUGCACCUACAAAACAAUUAACACCUUAGGUUAAGGCCAAGAGCCUCACACGCCCACGAUGAAUGGGGGGGCUUUGGCCGAAGAACCUCUGAUGCCAAAGUUAGAAUUUAGAGAGAUAGAGUGUUCAGAGAAUUUUGAGAUUUUUGCCAAAGUGUUGGAAUGGAUUUUUGGUGAGAAUGGGAUCACUUUUAUAGGGAUAGGAAGUGGCCGGCCUAGCUAGGGUUUUUGGGUUUAAUUUAGGUUUAAUUAGUCAAUUUAUUUGGCUAAUUAAACCCUAAAGAAUAAAUUGGUGGUUACAAAAUUGAUUAUUUGUAUAAAUGGGGUAAUAAAAUGGAGAAAGGUGAAAAAGGUUAGGAAAAGGGAGGUGGCCGGCUUCUUAGUGGUUUUAGGUGUGAGUGGGUGUUUUAAUUGAUAAUUAAGGGAUUCAUUAGGUAAUUAAUCAAUUUUUAGGGAAUAUGAAAGGAAAAUAUUAUUUAGCUAAUUGAUUAGCUAAAUAAUGGAAUACAAAAUAUAUAGAACAAAUUAGGUAUUAGGAAUUACCUUAUAGAAAGGAUUUGAUGAAAUAAGCUUUAAAUUGUUACCUAUUUUGGGCACUUUUGACUUGGUUGAGGAUGAUUGUCUGCCGCUCACGCGUAGGAAUCUCGAUAUGCCUCAAGGGUAUUUUUGUUCUCUUUUACCCAAAAAUCCACGUGUCGCCUUGUGAUUAUUUUGGCUCCACAACAACCACGUCAGCAUUUAACAGACCAAUGGAUGGAAAAUCUAACGGAGGUAUUAUUUUGAAAUAAAAUAACAAGUGAGGUAUGAAAGUGAAAUGUUUUAAAGAUGUUGUAUGGGGUUGUAAUAGACCUCAAACUUGAGGGUCCUAUGUAAUUUACCUAUUUUUAUGUUAAUUAUGAAUAGGUCAAUCAUGUAGAACCAAAUUAAAAGCUAACAUCAAUAACAACUACCAGAGACAAAAGCUCUAAUCAAUGCUUCGGAAACAUAGUCUUGUAUCUCUAGGUGUAAUGAUAUAAUUUGUUGGAAACUUAAAAGAAAAUUGGUGAUUUUGUAUAUAAUCGAUAAAAAGUUAUAAUAGUGACAAUAUAUCAGUAAUAUUUAUGUUAAUUAGGAAUAGGUCAAUCAUGUAUUUAAUACUUACAUGCAUUUAAAAUAAACACCUUAUCAAUGUUUUUUUAACUGUGCUCAGUUUUUCUCCUUCGCUUUGGUUUUGUUCUAUUGGAUUUUUCAACUAUCAUUAAUUGUGAACAUAACUGAUCAUUGAGACACAAACAUCCAAGGGAGAGUACCGUGGAACAAAAUGUGGAUAUCUUUAUACAUUGUAUGGUAGUAAACCAUCAUAAACACCAUAAUAAUGUAGAAACGCUCUUGGGGUACCUUUGGAUGAUAACUCAUGUAUUUGUUGCCCUACGUAAAGAUGGCUAAUGAUAAUGGAAGUCUAAUUUUCUCAUCCCAAUCUCUCCUGUCUCUCUUGUUCUCUUUUCUCUAUAGUUUAUUUCCAACAAGUUGUGUUAUUUUUUUUUUUUAGUAUUGUUAAGCAACCAAUAGAUUUUAAUUAGCAGUCUUUGUUUUUUUCUUUUAUAUUUUUAAUCAAUUUCAGUUGCUUAUCCGUUCUAGCAAAUUGAGCUCUUUUACAGCAAUUUUUUUCUUUAAAUGAAAUUAUUAUUAUUAAAAGAGUGAGAAAAUUCGAAAUUAUUACAACAAUUUAAAAAAAAGAAGUUUCGAAUCAUAAACACAGAGGGAGUUUACAACAUUUUAAUUAAGAAAUUAGGCUUCAGCUCAACUCAUCUUUGCAACGUCGGUUCCACUUCACAUCAACAUGCAAUGUUUCAGAAGGUCACGCGGUUUUGGGGUUGUUGUGUACCAAUAAUAUUAUAUAUAUAUAAAUUAGGAUUGAAGGAUACACGCAUUUUGUAGAGCUUAUUUUGUUAUGUAUUUUAAUGAUUUAAAUGCUUACGUUUUUCUUCACUACAAAUGAGUGAAUUAAUGAUUUUAGAAUUUGUCUAAUUUUUUACAUUGAUUAUUUAUGAAUAUUGAAUUGAAAUAUAGACGAUUCAAAAAUCGUUGAUAUACAUUACAAAAUGAACUCCACAAAAUAAGCGUCAAAAUAUGUAUAUAAAAUGGACAGCGUGAAAGGCUUGGAAAUUGGAAUAGGUUUGAAAAUUGUGCUUUUUGUAGCAAAUUGUAGCAAAGUUUGCUUGGACUUUCACAACCGUAUAAAUUAUGCCGCAGCACUCUCUAUUUUCUCUCUCGCUCUAUAUCGUGGUCCCUCUCUCUCGCCGUCCUCGAUUGCUCGAACUCACUAUCCUUUAUUGCUCGAACUCACCGUCCUCAAUUGCUCGAACCCACUGUCCUUUAUUGCUCGAACUCACUGUCUCCAACUUCCUCUGUUUGGUUCCCGAUGAAGAUGGUAAAACAGUAGGGGCAAGAAAUUAUGACAAUGUUAGAUUUGCAUAUUAAUCUGGUAGGGCUACAAUUCUCCAAUCCACACCCCUUCCAUCUAUGCUAGUGUUUGUACCCAAUAUUAGAUAUCCGGUCUGUGCAAUCGAGAUCGUUGAAUGAGAAAAAUUCUAAGCCGUGGGAUCAAAUAUAAUGAUGUGGAUUAAAUAAGAAAAAUUUAAAUGUUUAUCUUGGUUGAAUUACCAUGAUAAUAUUGUGGAAUUAUCUUCUGCAUAACGGGAUAGCGAGAAAAGUCCAAGGGUGUAGGGAAGUUGUGUGGCUGACUACCGCUUUUUUUUAUGGUGUCAUUAGUAGAGUAAUAUCACACUUAACAUUUAUUUGUACCAUCUCUCUAAUAAAGAUAAAGACCAUCAAUGCAUAAAUAAUGAUACAAAUAUAUAAUAAGAGUAUCAUAUUUGUAACUAGAAUAGGAGAAGAAAGACUUCAAGAUGGGGUCAGCCAAAUAAUUAGCGUCAGGAUAAAAAUAUGAGUAAUGAUAUUUGUAAACAUCGAAAUUUCGGUAAAUAAAUGUUGACCGAUAAAUCAAAGUUUCAACGCUCAUGUAUUACAUAAAUUUUACACGUAGCGUAUGUCUAAACAAAAAAUCGAAAUAAGUUGGAAAAGUCAUCAAACAGGACACAUGUCAACACCUGGCAGAAACGACUUAUUUCAUCUGGAAUAUUAUAUUCAAAAUUAGGCAUUGGAAAAUUCUAUAAAUAGAAGCCAAUUUCAUUCAUUUGAAGGAACCAAAAUCAUUAGGCAAAAUUCUUGAAGCUCUGAAGCUCUGAAACUCCGAAACUCUCAAGCAUCCAGGUUCCCGAAGAAUCAAGAAAGCUCUCUUCGUUCUUCGUUCUUCGUUCAUCGUUCAUCCUAAGAUCAAGCUCCAACGGCCCUUUAGAUCAACAAUCAUCCACUAAUUCAAGAUCAAGCCCCGACGGCCCUUGAAGAAAGUGUUCUUCAUUCUUCGUUCAUCGUUCUUCCAAGAUCAAGCCCCAACGGCCCUUUGGAUUAACAAUCAUCCACCAAUUCAAGAUCAAGCCCCAACGGCCCUUGAAGAAAGUGUUCUUCGUUCUUCGUUCAUCGUUCUUCCAAGAUCAAGCCCCAACGGCCCUUUGGAUUAACAAUCAUCCACCAAUUCAAGAUCAAGCCCCAACGGCCCUUGAAGAAAGUGUUCUUCGUUCUUCGUUCAUCGUUCUUCCAAGAUCAAGCCCCGACGGCCCUUGGAUCAACAAUCCACCAAUUCAAGAUCAAGCCCCAAAGACCCUUGAAGAACUUCUACCAAUUCAAGAUCAAGCCCUGACGGCCCUUGAAGAAAGUGUUCAUUGUUCAUCAUCCGUUCAUCCCGAAGAAUCAAGAAAGCCUUAUUCGUUCUUCGUUCAUCGUUCUUCCAAGAUCAAGCCCCGACGGCCCUUGGGUCAACAUCAUCAACAAAUCCACACAUCCAACCGUUCUUCAAGAUCAAGCCCAAAAGCCCUUGAAGAUCCGUUCAUCACCGUUAUUCAAGAUCAAGCCUUAACGGCCCUUGAAGAAACACUCAUCCUCAAGAUCAAGCCCCAACGGCUCCUUGAAGAUCCGCUCAAAUCCACCUUCAAAGAUCAAGCCCACGGCCCCUUGAAGAAACAUCCAACAGUUCAUCCAAGAUCAAGCCUCGACGGCCCUUGGAUCAACGAAACAUCUACAAAUCAACACCUUACGGAGAUCGAAUCAGAUGAUCAAAUUAGAGAGAGAUUGUAACCCUAAAUCAUCAAAAUACAAAUAUUAUUUUGUGCACGUUGUUCUUAUCUCUUUCGUUUCAGGAAAUUUUCGUGUUCACAAUAUUCUUACCAUCUAAAUAUACUAUAAUUUUAUACCAUCUUAUGUGGCAAUUGAGAUGGACUUCCACAUAAGUUUUAAAAAAAUCUCAUGUCAGCUAAGGUGGAUAUUUACGAUUUUACGAUUUUACUCAAUGAUUUUUAUUAAUAAAAUAAUUAAAAAAUAAUAAUGAAACCUACUUGCUCCCGUUUUCAAGCCUCAUCGCUGGGCCUCCUCCCUCUUCGCUCUCCAAUUUCACCUUCCUUCACCAACGAUCGAUGGUGCUCGACCCCCUUCAUCAUUGCCAACUGGCCGAAUAUCUUGAUGGUGCUCCCAGUGAUUGUUUUGCUCUGCCACCAAAUCAAGUUUGCAAUUUUAAUGGUUUAUGCCUUCUGGCCAAGUGUUGGAUUUGAUAGGUUUUUAAUUCCAGCAACAUUGAACAAAAAUAUGAAAAGGAUUGGAUACGAUAUUUUCCUCUGUUCUACUGCUGAGGAUUUUCCGAAUAGAAGAAGAUUUGGAAGACAACCUCUUUUCUUUUUUCUUCAUGGACUUUUGGUUAGCACCAAAAUCUUUUCCUAAUCCUCUAUAGGAAUGAAAAUUUCAUUCCAUGUUAUAUCCCGAUGUUGUCCAAGGUUUUGGCUUGAAUUUUCAUUGGAAUUAUCAUAUGUUGGAUCAGAUCAGGUGGAGAGAUGAAACGUAUCUAACAAGGAAGUUGAACGGGUAGGGUUUGAGCAAAAAUAAACAGAAAUUCCACCUAGGUUGACACCUAAGCUUCCACAUCAUGUGGUAUACUAAAUGUGGUAUAAUAAGAUGGUAAGAAUAGCAUUAUUGAAUGGGUAAUGUUAAGAGAAAUUUUUAGUUGUGACGGGAACACGGAUGGUACACCAUGCGUUUUUAUGUAAAUGGUGGAAAAUUUUAAUUUUUAAAUUAUUAACCUUUUAGCACACAUAUCCCACCAUUUAUAUGAAAACACGUGAUGUAUCACCUCGUGUGAUAGUCACAUUGAAAAAUCUCUCGUAAUGUUAGGAAAACUAAAUUUAUAAACAAAAGUUACAAAUUAAAUGAUGGGUUACCAAUAAGAAUGAUUACGUUUAUCAAUGCUUAAAUAAUAAAUCAUUCAUCAACUUCCAGUCCUUUAGUUUUUAAAAUUUUGUCUAACAUUACCCUUUCAAAACUCAUGAAAAUAAUUUUCAAUUUUUUUAACUGAAAAGUGAAAGUUACUAAACAAGAUUUCAGUUUUUAGCUUUCAAAAAAAUAAAAACAAAAGCUAAAAAUAAAAUGGUUAUCAAACAUCCCUAGAAGUCAUUCUUAGUGAUAGUAAGGUCAUCUCCAACCGAAAGAUCCAGGGGGCUAGAGGGCCGAAAAUAGUCUGAAAACCAUUUCCAAUCAAAGGCCAUGCCAAAGGGGUCGUGGACCCCAUUAGACAAAAAAGGGCCAAAGGGCCAACUGGCUGGCCCCAGUUCCAACAAUAACUAGAUGACGUCAGUUAACCGUUAUUUUUGAAUUUUUUUUUUAACAAAUUUUAACUUUCUAAGCCAUUAAACAACAUUAAAUUAAGUAAAAAAGAAAAUUCCUAUAACUUCCUAAGUCAUUAAACAAUAUUAAAUUAAGUAACAUGAAACAACAUUAAACAAUAUUAAACAAAAUUAAACAAUAUUAAACAACAUUAAAUAACAUUUAACAACAUAAAAAUUAUACAACAUAAAAAAAAACAUUUAAGAACAUAAAAUUUAAAUGCCUACUUCAUGCUUCUUUUGGCCCAAAGAUGUGCAACAAGAUCCUAAUGUAGGUACUUGUUUGUGGCACGAGAGCGUAUCAUCCUAACCGUUAGAUUUGAUUUUUUUUUGUUUUCGGCCAAAUUUUUUUAAAUUUAAAAAUAAAUUAUGUUUGACCUUUUGGCCCUCGAUUGGAGAUAGUUUUUUUUGUGACAUGACUAUGUUUAGCCCUAUGACCCUUUGGCCCUCAGUUAGAGAUGGUAAGAAAUAUGACCCAACAAUGUUCAUUAAAAUAUUAAUUUCUUGAAGAGCCAGAGGGCUAAAACGAGCCAUCCUUCGGUUGGAGAUGGCCUAAGAAGAGACUAGAGAUAGAGAGAUUCCUAUACUUAGCUGUGAGAGUUUCCUAUAUAUGAUUUUCAUUAACAAGAUUGAACUGAUUACAUAGAGAAGAAGAUCAAGUAUGGUUAUUUUUAUUUGGGAGACUUUGGAUGUGGUCCUUAGUUAUGAAUAUUAUUUGAUUGAAAUCUUGUUGGUUUUUAAUUUUUUAUCAAGAUCCCUGAAAUUAAUGUGAUAAUUUAUUUCUAUGUAAGUUACUAUAUUUUUUUAAUUAGAAAUUAGAAAUUUUAGUUGUUUAUAUAAAUGAGAUUUUAAAUUAAAAAAACCAUAAUUUGUGGGAUUAAAAAUAUUAAAAUAUAAAUAUACUAUUGUGUGUGUGUGUGUGUGUGUGUGUGUAUAAAUAUGGGUACAUUCAUCAAAAUUAACCAAAAAAUUUAUUGUAUCAAAACAUGGGUACAUUCUUCAAAAUCACAAAAAAAGAAAGAUAUUAGGCUUAAUAACAUUAGUAAAUUUCUUCGAUUAAACUUGACAUGGAUACAUUUUAAAAUCAAAGAAAAAAAAUGUACCCAUAUAAGUUUAAAAAUGGAUUAGAAAAAAAAAUUGAAUAGAUUUUAUACAAAAAAAGGGUACGUUUUACAUAUAACAAAUUGGUAUAUUUAAGAAUGAGUACAUUUUAAGAUUAAAAAGUUUUACAUGAAUGGGUUCAUAUAAUUAGCAUGGGUACAUUUAGCAAAAUAAAAAGUACAAAUACAAAAAAAUAUAUGUGUACAAAUACAAAUAAACUUUAAAAAAUAUGGGCACAAAAAGAAAUUAAUAUAUGGGUACAAAUUAAAACCGAAAAGAAAAUUGGUACAAGUUAAAAAAGAAUUACAAAUUAAAAAUGGGUACAAACUAAAACUAAAAAUAUAUGAUAAAAAAUUUAGUCAUAAAUAUAAAUAUACUAAUUGUAACAUUUUUAACAUUAAAUGAAUAUAUUUAGACAUAAAAAAUAUAUUUUAUUAUUGAAAUAAUUAAUGAUGUUAUUAAUACCCAAGGACCUUGAUAAAAAAUUGAAAAGAAAUAGAAUUUUAAUCAAUGGAGUAGCAAAAGAAAAGAUGAGAACCUAAUUUCUCCUUUGUAUUGUGUAGACAUUAUAACUAUACAUUCAUAAUAACAUGAGUAAUGUUAUAUUUAUCACAUUUGUACUCUUUCUCCAAUAAAGAUAGGGUCCAUCAACACAUGUGGGUUCUAUUUGCCCAUCAACACAUGCGAAUCUCAUUUUUAUUAGAAAAAUAGUACAAAUAUGAUAUGGAAAUUAUGAUAAGAUCGCAAUUUUGUAAUAACAUAUAUACUCAACUAUUUAUAUACCAACUCAUCUCCCUUUAGUGUAGUUAAUAUUGUUUGUUCAACCAAAAAAAAAAAAACUGAACUUGUCAUAAUCAUUGAAUCCAUUUACCAUGAACAAACGGCAGUUUACUAAACUUGCCCUCAGAGUAUAUAUAAAAGGUGAAUCACAAUCUAUUGCAUUAAUAUAAGGAAACAAUUUAUAGGGUUUGACGGGUGACUUAAUAUGCUAUAUGGCACAAUGAAAAUUAAGUUCACACUUUAUCCCAAAUAAGGUGUUGCACCUUUAAUUUAUGGAUGCUGGUUUGACGUGUGACCGAAAUAAUCAAAUUGUAGCCAUUAAUCAUUUUACAAGUAAUAAUAUGUGGUUUUAUUGUUUACGAUUCACACAACAAUCUGCUAGGAAGUAGAAAAUGCAGUACUUGUCCCUCUCACAGAAGUCAUGAAUAAUUAUCAAAUUCAAAGAUAAAGAAAAACCACACAAUUUACAAGAGGAAAGAAAAUGAAGGGAUAAAGAAAGUAAGAAAGGAAUACCUCUAUGGGAGGACUCUUAUUUGCUUCAGAUGCCUACAAUAUUCAUCAUAUAAACACUGAUUAAGUAGUCAUCGAAAACCAAAACAAAUGUCGAACAUAGGGUGAAAAACAGAAAGAAUAACCGCAGCUCAUCAUACCAAUAGAGAUAGAACUGCCCGAUGCCCAAGUAUGACUGAAAAAUGGCAAUCCAAACAUGGCGCCUUCUAGCUCAUCAAACUGUCAAAACCUAGGUUCCACCAAAAAGAUACAAGUCACCUAGUUACUUGUAAAAUAAAAAUCUGUUUCAAAAUAGUGGAAAAUAUUAUUAACAUUGUUCAAAGUCCACAUUGUUGUACCUACCAAGAAACAAGAAGGAUUGUAUCUUAUCAUGAAAAAGAACAUAGGUACCUUUUCAAUUGUAAUUGUACAAAAAUGAGAGACCACUUCCGAACUUCUCUUGGAACUUCAAUCAAUUUCUGCCCACUUUUAAAUGCCUUGACAUACUUAAGCCUAUUUCUUUGAGCUUCAGUUUUGGCUUCUGAUGCCUUUAAAUUUCUUAAAGAUUCUUACCAAGUUUUACAAACUCACUUCUAUACAACCAUUUGUCAGUAUACAUACCAUUUUCUUUGAGCUUCAGUCUUUGCAACACCAAAACCCCCCAAAUAGACCCGGAAUUUUGCAAUGUGCAGGGAAUAUACAAAAAAAACCCUCCUAUCCAUCUAAAACGAAAUCAGAACGCAAACCACAAUCAAAAUCCGUAAAAUUAAUUUAGCCAACCCCUAAAUCUAAUAAUUCUAACAAAUAUUAUAGUAUCAAUUGAGAGAGAAUUUGAGAAGAUACCUAGAGAUGAAAGGAAGAGCGUUUCCUCUGAUAGGGGUUCCGUGAAAGCAUCUGUUGACCAGAAAAGAAAAGGCAAAAAACCCCAAAUUACAUAUCAAGCAAUUAUAGAUAGAUCGAACCUUGAAAAUUGAAAUUUCAAACAAGAGAAAGGUUAUAAACUUACAACGAUCUGGGUGUUGGUAACUGGGUUUGGAUUUGGGUUUCUGAUAAGAGAGAGAAUCGUAUGAGGAACCGAUAGAGGAACUGCACCGGCAACAGAGAGCAAUUGAUAUGGUGGAGAACAGACGAGAAUAGCUGCUUGGAUGGUCAAUCCAAGAAGAGAAAAUCUUGCCACAAUCGCGGUACUUGAAAAAAAAAAAAACAAGUUUAAAGGAGGGAAACAAUCGCGCCUUUUUCUAAUAGACUCUGUCGACGAUAUUCUUGACAAAUAGAUGCUUCGUCGGGUGAGCUUAUUUUUCACAACAUUUUAUUUAGGAUUGGGUUCGGUUGGUAAACCGUGUCAAAUUUCUUGUGCCACUUGCCAGCCACAUAUACAUAAUUACCGAAAAUCAGUUACCGUUAGCCAACCGUCUUCUUGCGGUUGCCAAAAAUCGGUUCAGCCAAAAUGAUUGGCUGGUUCGGUUGGUAAAUGGCACAACCGGUGGUUUCCACUUCUUCCUCGCUAUCUUCCAGUUCCAAGGGCUCAAUUUGAUUUUCAGAUUGGGAUGCUUGUUCGGUUGCAUUGUGUGGUUCAUUUUGGGUUAAUCCAUGUUGUGCACUAGUAGUUGAUUGGCUAGACUCCAUUAUCCUAAACAUAAGCAACAAAUAUACAUUCAAAAUAAUAUAUAUGUACGUGUAUAUAUAGUAUCAGUAAUCAUCAUGCUAUCAAUUUUGUUAACAAUAUUUUCUAUAUAUUGAUUUUGGCAUGAAUCAUAUACACAUACAUAUAUUUUUAAAACCCUAAAACUAAGGAGUCAUUUAUUUUCUAAACUCUAAAAUUGAGGAGUCAAGCAUGUAAAAAAAUACUUAAAAUAUCUAAAUAGAAAAAGAAAAAGAAAAAAAAAUAAAUAUAUAUAUAUAUCGGUAGGUAUGGCAUACCGCCGGCAUACAAAAUCAAUUACCAAAGCCAUGCCAUUAAUUGUCGGUUCGGUAAAAUGCCAACCGAUUAUGAAAAAAUGUCAAAACUAUACCAUACCAUUUUGAGCCAACCAGUAUGGUUUGGUCAGUAAAUCGGUUUAUGGCAAAAUUUCUCACCCCUAAUUUUAUUUGUCACCUUAAACCUAUUGGUUUCUAGCCUACAAUUCGGAUAUUUUGUUGGGGAAAGAUUUUUGUACCAAUAAAAUUUUGCUUUGUCGGCAAAAUGACAUUUUCUAGUAGUUAUAAUAUUAGGUAGAUCAAAUUUGUAAACUAUGUGAUGUGUCACUAAUAGGAAAAAAUUUCAGUGUGCUGAAAAUACGGUCUAGAACACCAAGUGUCAUAAUAUAUACUUGGUUGGAAAUCUUUUAUUUUCAAGUUUCCAACUAGUUGUAUUGUAACAGUUGGUGUUCCAAGCUAUUUUCUCCAUGCGCUGGAAAAUCUCUUCACUAAUUAAAAAUAAACAUAUUAAUUAACACUUAAGUAAUAAUCAAAGCAUCAACAACUACGUCAUAGAAUUUACGAAAUAUGAUCUUAAUUAAUGAUCUCCAUUACCCUUUAUCUUAGCGUAUACGUACGCCUUCACAUGUUUAUUUGCUGAUAUGCAGCUUGAGUAAAAAUUUCUUUUUAAGAACAUAUAUGUGAAUAUAAACAUAUAUAUCUAGUGAUCCAUGUUGCGUUAUUUAAAAAUAAACAAAUUAAUUAAUUAAUGAACUGUGUACCUGUCUGUGUAGAGUAAUCCAUAUGCAUGCUUGAAUCCUGAUCACCACGAAACCAUAAUAUAAGCUACUCAAGGCCCGGAAGCUAGGAUUGAAGAGAAAAACACCCAGUCAGAUUAAGCCAAUACAUCAAAGUUAAUACUUCCAAAUGUAAGCUUUAAGAUAGAAAAAUCACUUACUUCCUUGAGCAGUCGAGCUUCUUCAAUGGCAUGAAGCUUUUAGCAUGAGAUUGACUGCAUCACAACUAAAAUUUUCUCUUGGAAACUACAUAAGGAAUAGCAUGUAUACCUAUAACGUUGAGAAAGUACGCCAAUUUUUUCCUUCUGCACAUUCAUGUUUAAAAGUAAUCCUCAAAUGAACUUGCCCACAAUGAAAUGCAAUUUGAGGUAGUCGAGUGUGUUCCAUUUCCAUCCCAUCGGAAUUACUACUAAACUUUGAGAUGGUAGAGGAUUCAUGAAAUUUUUUACUUUUGAAAUAGUCUCCUUAGCAUUUCUCGACUAUAACAAUGAGGAAAUACUUCACCUUGUAUCAAACAAGGGAGACCGAAAAUCAACUACUAAUAGCAUCACAGAGCCAGCAGAAGAUUGAGGAGGCCAUGAAAAGGAAAGAGAAAAUACACUCUUUUUUUGUAAGGACAGAGAUAAUACAUUCAAUAAAGGGUACUGAUGUUUAUAUGCAAAGCUGAUUAGGUUUAAAUAGUCGUAUUUAUUCUGUACAGUGCCAAUAUUACCACCCGUUAGUACACUUUCAAGACACUGUAAUCCAGUGUAUGCACUAUGCAGUACGUAGUACUCCUCAUUUUUUUGGGGAAAUUCAUUAUUGGUCUUCAUAUCUUCUUUAUUUUCCUUGUCCUCAUUGUGCCACGUGUUUAAAUCACUAAUUAUAGGUAAUCUUUCAAUUUAAUUAAAUCUUAUGUAAAAAAAGAUAAUUAAAUAUCAUUUAGUAUUACAAUAUAGUGAUAUUCCUCUUUAGUAUAAAAUUUUUAUAAUUAAAAGCGUUCAGCUUUUUAAUCUUCAUUGGAAUAUUAUCUAUAAAGAAAAAUUAUUCGAAUCAGAGAUCAUUUAUGCAUUCAAAUGUAUAAAAUACAUCGACAGUGUGAGAACCAACUAAUAUAUUUUUGAUGAAGUACAAUUAUUGAAUACAUUUGAACGAUCAAAUGAUAUAUGAUUCAAAAUACAUAUUAAGAUAAUAAAUAUAAAAGAAUUGUUAUUUGCACUUCAAGAAUCUCAUUCUACACUCUAAAUUUUCUAUAUAUUAAAAGAAAAAUAAAUUUGUGAAAAGUGUAGAAUGAGGUUUUUUUAAAUGCUAAUAACACUUCUCUAAAUACAAUUAUGAAAUUAAUUAAGUAAAGAUACAUGACCUCGUGAAUGAUGAAUGUAUUAUUCAAAAAAAUAUUAAAAACAAAUUGAAAAAGGACGCUGUUGUUGCCACCACUUAUGCAAUGAUCGUCGCUGCCAUCACCAACCCCCAACACCCCAUUACAGCUCAUAAAAGCACAUCAUAAGCAAUUUAUGAAAUAAAUUUACUGGAAUACUAAUUUCCCCCUUAGUUUAGGUCACCAAUGUUUAAAUUUAGGGAUCGUGAUAUCCACACACAUUUUUUACUUCUUUCACACUUUUUUUUUCGGUUGUCGGAUCAGAUGAAUUGAAGAAAAUCAAUGAACAGAAAUUAACAAGGGGUGUGUGAGAAGUAAAAAUGAAUGUGUGGAUAACACACCCCUAAAUUUAUCACAACUUUCAUUCCAAAUUUAAUUUUUAUCCGUAGUUUUGUUUGUUCAAAUUUACUUUGACAUUUCCAUUAGUAUUAAAAUCUAAUUUAAAUUUUAGUGUUCAAGCUAGAAAAAGUGUUCCAUUUAAUAUUUAAUCUCAGUUUUUCUCUUUAUUCUUUUAUUGGGAUUUGGUUGCAUCGUAUCUCCAUUUUUCUCGGUGUUGUAUGUUCAUAAGGCCUGUGAAACGUUGGCACGGAGUGAAGGGUACUCACUUUUUGGCCCAAAAUGCAUAAGGCAUGUAGAUAUGUUAAUCAAAUUUUGUAAACUAAAGGAUAUAGAAGUUGAUAAUUAGAUUAUAAUUUAAGAUAAUACUAAGGAGACUAAAUUUGCAAACUAAAUGAUGUGUCACCAAUAAAAAUAAGCACGUUUAUCAACAAUUAAGUAAUAAAUCAAUCAUCAACUUUCAUGUCCUUUAGUUUCCAAGAUUUAAUAUACAAAUUUAGUCUCCCAAGCAUUACUCUAUUACUUAAGUAUUGAUUAACAGACUUAUUUCUUAUGGUGACACAUUAUUUAGUUUACAAUUUUAGUCUACCCAACAUUACUCUUUUGAAAUUGUCUUGUCCACUGAUAUAAUUCUAUUUUUCUUGUGAUCAAAACUUCAAAUGUUAGCAAGUCGCACGUAAAGUCGCUUAUGAGAGAAUGUGCUCACAUUGUAGUUGAAAGAUUAUGUGGCUAGCAACAUUACAAAUUUAAUUUGGUAUAAUUCUAAAAUAUAGAUUGAGGAAAAAAUGAUCACAUUAACUAGAAACUGAAAAGGUUUCAGCACAGUUUGUUCAAGCAAGAAAUUCAAUUUUGAUGCUACCGAUCUUAACAGCCUGAGCGCCGUACCUGGGCACCAAAGUCACCACCACACUCUCAUCAUCUUCAGCACCCAAAUCCUCCAACAGGUCCGUUAACCCCAACCUUAAACAACUCUUGCUCUUUUCCUUCUGCUUAUGUGGCACACUCACAAAACUCCCAGCAAACUCGCUCUUGUCGGGUCCACUCGGUGCCGCAUCCUCAUCGUCCACGUCAUUCACAUACACACAUCAAACUUCACAGCCACAUCUUUGUCAAGCUCAAUCCCCUGAAUCACCAAUAUCUCCUCCUCAUCCUCUUUCUCCUUCUUGCUCCUCUUCUUCGGCUUCGGCCUUGACACCACCGUACUUAUCUUCGUCUCCAAAUUUAUUGGAAAAUCUUUACCCGCCACCACCUUCCCUGAUGACGUCGUCUCAGUGGCCUUCGCCACUCCAGCCGCCUUUGCCUUUCUCGCAAGCUUUGUCCGACGUGGCGUCGGUCUAGACUUGAGCCAUGGAAUCUCAACAUCUUCAUACGUAUACCCUAGCUUUUUAUUAUCAAGAGUGUCCCUCACCGUGACCCUAACAAGCUCAGCAUUCUCGUCAUAAAACAAAAACCCCGUAUCCAACCAAUCCUUAUCGUUAAUAUCGUUAUUUUUAGUCCCUAUACUUUUCCAAAUAUUCCACAUUCGAUCUAUAUUCGAAUGGUGCGAAAAAAAUAUUGGAUCCCUUGCAGCGGAGUAAAAAUUCCCCAUGUCUUCAAAAUUAGGCUGCGUGUUAUCUCCGGUCCAUAAAUGAACCGGACCAUGUGGGGUCGUUUCGAUUGAACCGCCCCCUGGAUCUGGUUCAGUGUCAGCCCUGUAGGGCGAACCAAAGAACAACAGCGGUUUCUUGGAGUUGGAAACCAUCUGCCUAUACAUGAUUUUGAGGUUGGCGUCGAUUUGAGCAUCCUUGGACAUUGUUUCAUCCGUGCCGUUGAAGUCAAGAUCGAUGAGAGUCGGCGGCUGAUGGCUGGCAGCGCGGAGCUCGUCGUAAAGCGGAGAGUCCGGGUUAGCGAACAAGGCAGGGAGUUGCAUGCCAGCUGGCGCGUCCCAGUUCCAAAACGGCAACGCGAACGUCGGAUCGUCUAUGAGUUUGGCCAAGAUUCUUUCGUAGAAGUAUACGUAGUAACGAUGGAAGGGGAAGAAAAGCCAGCAUUGAUGGAUUUGGAGCUCGAGGUUGGGGAAGCCGACUUGGUCGUACGCGCCGUCGCAAUAGGCACAGUGGAGAUCGGCUUGCUGGGUGAAGCUACGCGGAUCGUCGUCCGGGAGGGCUUUCAUGAGCUCGAUGGCUUUUGAAUAUUUUUCGAUGUAGGCUUUAUCCACGGUGUGAGCUGCCGGCCUGACGCGGAGUUUGGUAGGGGAGGGGAAUUUGAAGUCUACGAUUUUUUGGGACGUUGGCGGGCAACAGUUGAUCGGGACUGCUCCACUUGGAAAGUCCGCAGCUCCGCAUUUGGCUAGGUCAGGCGGCAACACUGGCUUUGCAACAGCGAAGGGGUCGCUGCCAAGACCAGCCACUCCGGCUUUGCAACAGCGAAGGGGUCGCUGCCAAGACCAGCCACUCCACCGUAGAGGCUUCCGAGACCUAUAAGAAGAUAGAAUUCAGUUCUUGGCAGUAGAGGACUCUAUUGCAGGGAAAAACUGAUUUGAAUUAGGAAGGCUUAAGUAGUUUUCCAUAAGGAUUUUAAUAGGGAAUCCAUAUUCUAAUAUGAGAAGGAUAUGUGUGUACAUAUAUAUAUAUAUAUAUGGCAAUCUCUUCUCUCACAGGUGUGUGCUCUUUUGGAACUAAGCCCUAUUCUUAGUUUGAGUGAUAAAUACCCUGACAGAGAGAAGAAGAAUUGAUGUGCUUUUCAGGUUGAUCGAGAUCCACCAUGACUGCAUCAAACGGGAGUUCUACAGGUUAGUAUAAUUAGGUUUUAUUUGGAUUGAUGUUUUGUGUCUACUUGGUUGUAGUUUAAGUAACUGAAUCUUGCAGCUAGAUUUUGGUUUACAUGUGGUAUCAGAGCCAUAGAUUCAUGUUCUUAAAUUCAAUCGAUAAAAUUGAUUGAAUCCAAAAUAAAAUUCCGAUCUUCAGACUUCGAAACAGGUUCUGGUAGUUAAAAUUAGGAAAAGAAGAAACGGUGCGUUUUGAUUAAAAUAUGAUGAUUAAUACUUGACCGUUAAGAGCUAAUAAACUAUCUUCUCUUCCGAAUUGGGAAUACAAAUCGACAUCUAUCGAUUUCGAUUUCGGGGUUUGAAAAACUGGGUUAUAUGACAUCUAUCGAUUUCGAUUUCGAGGUUUGAAAAACUGGGUUAUAUGAAUUGUUAUUGAGUAUCCACAAUUUAUAUUAAUUGCUUCCGCUGCUGGGUGUUGAUGCUCAUAGAACAAACGGGUAUGUCUCCUGAACAUUGAAUUGAAAUUUGUUUUUUAAUCAAUCUUAUCUUGAAUUUCAUUAUGUUCUACAGCAUGAUUCGAAUAGUGAGCAUAAAAAUAUGCUUAUUUAUGCUGAUUAGUCCUAUGUUUAUGCGUUUUUCUCUAACCAUCUAUGGAAGGGAGUUCUUCGAUAAGAACCUCUGCAGAUUUCACUUGUUUUAUGCAGAAAGUUUUAUGAAGAACUGUUCAUUUGAUAAAGAUCUGCUAAAACUGUGUUCUUAAAUGGAAAAAUCUUUUAUUCUAUAUGUGCUUAUCAAUUCUUCAUUGUUAAGAUUAUAUAUAUGGAUAAAAGGUUUUGAUGAUAUGAUGUACAAAGGAUUGUGAGAUGAAAUCUGGAACUCUAAACGUUCUUCUGUGAUUCAUUGUGAUUUCAUUGUGCUACAGUGUCUGCAAUAUCAAUGAAGACUCUGAAUUUGGCUAACAUCCCAAUUCUUACUGGUGGGGGAAAUUACAAGAAGUGGAGAAGGGAAAUCAGUUUGCUGUUGACUCUAAACGAGUUUGAUAUAGCAAUCGAGAAUCCCAAACCCGUGGUCAAUGAUCAGAGCAGCACAAGGGCUGAAAAGGCAGAUUUUGAGAGAUGGACAAGGGCUAAUAAGGUAGCAUUGUCCAUCCUUGAGAGUGGCAUGACUGAUACAAUCAGAUGAGGAAUUAAGAAGCACGAUUUGGCUGCUGAUUACCUAAAAGCUAUUGAAAAGAAAUUUCAAGAAUCUGAAAAAGCUGAAGUGAGUCAGUAUAUGUCUUUAUUAACUACUUACAAGAUGGAGGGUACAAGCUCUAUAAGGGAUCACAUAAUGAAGAUGACAUAUGCUGCAGAAAGACUCAAUGCAAUGGAUAUAAACAUAGGUGAAAAGCAGUUAGUAUUCAUGAUUCUUCAAGCACUUCCCAGUAAAUAUAGUCAGUUGAAGAUCUCCUACAAUACUCAAGACAAAAACUGGGAUAUUGAUCAGUUGAUUGCACAGUGUGUGCAAGAAGAAACUCGUCAAAAACAAGAAAGAGGCAAAGAAGUUGAGGACAUCAACUUUGUGCAAACUAUAAAUGACAAAAAGCAGUUCAACAACAGAAGCUUUUCUGGUUCUGGUAAGAGUUCUAAGCCUUUUAAAACUUCUAAUAAGUUCAGUAAUUCUGCUAAAGUAGUUGACUCCCCUAGAAAAUCUAUCAAGUUUAAAGCUAAACCUAAAGAUGUGUCUAAAUUAAAAAUGUUUUUGGUGCAAAACUAAGGGCCAUUUAAAAGUUAACUGUGAAAUUUUCAAAGAUUAUGUAAAGAGCAAAGAAAAGGAACAAGUACUUGUCUGUAUUGAAUCAAAUUUGUGAAGUAUACCUGUUGAUUCUUGGUGGUUUUGAUAUACCGGAUGCUCAGUGCAUAUAACUAAUUCUUUAAAUGGUUUUCAAAAACAAAAGGAAUUUGGAAAUGCUACAUAUAAUGUUUUUGUUGGGGAAGGAACUAAAGUUGCAGUAGAGUCAAUUGGGAUAGUCAAAUUAGUCUUAUGUUCUGGUUAUGUUUUAGAGUUGAAAGAUGUGUGCUAUAUGUGCCUAAGAUGAGAAGAAACUUAAUUUCUGCCCUCUAAAAUUGUAAAAGAUGGUUUUUCUUUUCUUGGUGAUGAUGAGUGCCUCAAAAAUUUUCAAGAAAAACUGUCCUUGUCCUAACACUAUUUUAGGGACUGCUUUUUUGUCUGAUAAUUUAUGGAAUCUAAAUUGCACUGUUAAGGCACUCAAUCACACGAUUUUCAGCAUUAGUACUAAGAGAAUGAUAGGUCAGGAUACUUCAUACAUUUUAUGGCACAAAAGACUAGGACACAUCUCUAAAGAAAGGAUAAUUAAGCUGUAAAAAACUGACUUGAUUCCAAAAUUAGAUCUUUCUACUGCAACUGAAUGUGUUGACUGCCUAAAGGGUAAAAUGACCAAUUUUAGAAAAACAGAUGCCAAAAUGAGCCAGGGGUUACUUGAAAUCAUACACACUGAUAUCUGUGGUCCUUUUCCAGUUAAGACAAUAUGUGGAAACAAGUAUUUCAUUAAUUUCAUAGAUGAUUUUUCAAGGCUGGGAUAUACCUUUCUGAUUAAUGAAAAAGCUGAUGCCCUUAAGUGUUUUAUAAUUUACAAAACUGAGGUUGAAAAACAGUUAGGCAAGGUUAUUAAAAUUGUUAGAUCGGAUAGGGGAGGUGAAUACUUUGGCAGGUACACUGAAUCCGGGCAGCAAAAGGGACCAUUUGCUCUCUAUCUCGAGAAGAAUGGUAUUGUGGCGCAGUACACCACACCUGGAACGCCUCAACAGAAUGGUGUUUUUGAAAGAAGAAACAGGACUCUUAUUGGUAUGGUUAGAAGCAUGAUGUCCAGAUCAAAAUUGCCAGGAUUCUUGUGGGGAGAAGCUUUGAAAACAGCUAAUCAUAUAUUGAAUCGAGUUCCAAGCAAGGCAGUAUCUACCACACCCUAUGAGUUAUGGCAUGGGAGAGUUCCUAGUUUUACUUAUUUCCAUGUUUGGGGUUGUAAAGCAGAAGCUAAGUUAUAUAAUCCUAAUGAAAGAAAGCUGGAUUCAAGGACUCAGUCAUGUUAUUUUAUUGGCUAUCCUGAGAAAUCAAAAGGAUACAGGUUCUAUAUCCCUCAAGGUCACACUCGGAUCCAAGAGACACACAAUGCAGUUUUCCUAGAAGAUGAAGAUGUCUCUCAUUUGUCAAGGGAAAAUUUCAUAUUUGAAGAGAUGCAUUCAGAUGGUGGGGACCAUGUGACAAUGGAUUAUAAUAUCGGUCUCAUUGUUUCCCAAUCAAUCAUCAAUUGCCAUUGAAGAUAUGAGUGAAGAUUUAGGAGUUCCUGAUGACAACUCUGUAGGAGUUGAUUCCACAACAUAAGCUGCAACAAUUCCUUUUGCAGAAGCAUGUGAACCAGUUGCUGUUCCACCUCCAGUUGAAAUCAGAAGGUCACAAAGAGCUCGGAAAACCACUGCAAGCAAUGACUAUGUGUACUUAUAAGAGACUGAGUUCGAUAUUGGUGACAUUUGAUGAUCCUCUUACAUAUACUCAGGCAACUGAAAGUCCUCAAGCAGUUCUUUGGAACAAUGCAAUGAAGGAUGAGUUAGAUUCAAUGUCCAAAAACCAGGUUUGGACAUUGGUGGAAUCCAACUCUGAAAUUAGGCCAAUAGGCUGCAAGUGGGUAUAUAAAACCAAAAGGGAUGCUGCUGGAAGAAUUGAAAGAUAUAAAGCAAGGUUGGUUGCUAAGGGGUUUACUCAAACGGAGGGGAUCGACUAUAAUGAUACUUUCUCUCCAGUUUCCUCCAAAGACUCCAUGCGAGUUAUCAUGUCUUUAGCUGCCUACUUCGAUCUUGAAUUACAUCAAAUGGAUGUAAAAACCGCUUUUCUUAACGGAGACUUACAAGAGGCUAUAUACAUGAAACAACCUGUUGGAUUUGUUGAAAAGGGGAAAGAGAAUUUAGUAUGCAAGCUCAAUAAGUCCAUAUACGGCUUGAAACAAGCAUCAAGGCAAUGGUACCUAAAGUUUGAUCAAAUUGUCUCUGCAUAAGGUUUUGUAGAAAACAAACUGGAUGAUUGUAUAUACAUUAAGUUCUCAGGUUCCGAGUUCAUCUUCUUAGUACUUUAUGUUGAUGCCAUUCUCCUAGCUAGUUCAUGUCCCCAAUUGCUUCAUAGCAUUAAGAGAAUGCUAAGUGAUAACUUUGAGAUGAAAGAUCUUGGAGAAGCACAUUAUGUACUAGGAAUAGAGAUUGUUCGAGAUAGGAAAAUGAGGCUCCUUGGUUUAUCUCAAAAGGGGUACAUUGACAGAGUGUUGGAGAAAUUUCAUAUGGCAAAUUGCAAUUGUGGUCAGGUUCCAGUCAAUAAAGGUGACAAGUUUUCGAAGAUUCAAUGUCCAAGAUCUGAUUUGGAGGUGAAGAAAAUGCAAGCUAAGCCUUAUGCCUCGUUGAUUGGAAGUCUUAUGUAUGCAACUAUCUGUACAAGGCCUGAUAUUGCCUUCAUAGUUGGUAUGCUAAGACGAUUUCAAGCAAAUCCUGAGAAGCACAUUGGGGGUGGCAGCCAAGAAGGUUCUUCGAUACUUGCAGAGAACCAAAACUCACAUGUUAGUAUAAUGGCCGAACUGAUUCUUUGGAGCUCAGGGGGUAUAUACUCGGAUUUAGCUGGAGAUGUGGAUGACAGGAAGUCCACAGGGGUUAUAUCUUCAUACUCAAUGGAGGGGCAGUUUCGUGGAAAAAUGCAAAGCAAACUAUUAUAGCCACAUCAACUAUGGAAGCUGAGUUUGUAGCCUGUUUUGAAGGCAUGAAACAGGCAGCAUGGUUGAAGAAUUUUUUGACAGAUUUAAAGAUUGUGAAUUCGGUUCAGAAACCAGUAACAAUGUUCUGUGAUAAACAACUCGGCUGUGUUUUUUGCUAAGAAUAAUAAAAGGACUUCAGCAUCUAGAUUUGGAUGGACGAAGUUUCUUAAGGUCAGAGAACAAGUCAAGAAAGGAGUUAUUGAAGUACAGCACAUUAGCACUACUAUGAUGAUUGCUGAUCCCUUGACUAAGGCACUGCCAAUUGGAGAAUUCAAGAAACAUGUUUCUUCAAUAGGAGUACUAGAAGGUUUUGAUCAGUGGGAGUAAUCACGUGUGUGUUAAAGGCUUGGGAUUGCAGAAGCAGAAGUAUAUAUGUGUUUCAAGAACUGUAUGUGCAAUUCUGACAAGCUGAACUAAGGAUGCUUUAUGUUUUAACUUGCUUUAGUUAGUUUGUUAAGGUUGUUUGUGUUUUAAUAAGUGUCCUUGUCUGCUACUCAAUACUUUGGCUUUCAGGUGUUGAGGUACGGAUACUGGACUGAGUUAGAAUUUAGUUUCAUUAGUAACUUUGAAAGAACAGUUUGUCUGUUUUUUAAGUUUGUGGUUAAUGAUGUUAUAUAGUCAAUUACUAUGUUGCUUUUCUGUGAAGAUUAAUGUGUGUUGUGAUCUUUUGAAAAGUGGGAGCAUAAUGUUUGACGGUUUAUGUUAGUCAUGAGUCAUAUUUACAAAUUGAAUAUAUGUGAGCCUUGAAUUAAUACUACAAUUUGGUUGUGGUCUGAGAUUCUUGGUUUCUAUAUUUUGAGAUGUAAUGGGACAGUGGUCAUGAUGGUUAAAUCUUAGAUGAGGUUAUGUGAUCACUUCUUAUGAUUGGUGACGGCAAGGUUUGAUCUUUGUCUCAUGUUCAAGUGGGAGAAUGUAAGAAUGUGAACAUGAGAUAAGAUGAUCGGAUAUUAGUUGUUUGAGUCCAAUCCGAAUAAGAAAGCCUCUAAGAAGAUGGAAUUCAGUUCUUGGCAGUAGAGGACUCUAUUGCAGGGAAAAACUGAUUUGAAUUAGGAAGGCUUAAGUAGUUUUCCAUAAGGAUUUUAAUAGGGAAUCCAUAUUCUAAUAUGAGAAGGAUAUGUGUGUACAUAUAUAUAUAUAUAUGGCAAUCUCUUCUCUCACAGGUGUGUGCUCUUUUGGAACUAAGCCCUAUUCUUAGUUUGAGUGAUAAAUACCCUGACAGAGAGAAGAAGAAUUGUUGUGCUUUUCAGGUUGAUCGAGAUCCACCAUGACUGCAUCAAACGGGAGUUCUACAGGUUAGUAUAAUUAGGUUUAUUUGGAUUGAUGUUUUGUGUCUACUUGGUUGUAGUUUAAGUAACUGAAUCUUGCAGCUAGAUUUUGGUUUACAUAUUUUUCGAUGUAGGCUUUAUCCACGGUGUGAGCUGCCGGCCUGACGCGGAGUUUGGUAGGGGAGGGGAAUUUGAAGUCUACGAUUUUUUGGGACGUUGGCGGGCAACAGUUGGUCGGGACUGCUCCACUUGGAAAGUCCGCAGCUCCGCAUUUGGCUAGGUCAGGCGGCAACACUGGCUUUGCAACAGCGAAGGGGUCGCUGCCAAGACCAACCACUCCGGCUUUGCAACAGCGAAGGGGUCGCUGCCAAGACCAGCCACUCCACCGUAGAGGCUUCCGAGACCUAUAAGUACAUUUCUUCUGUCUAGGUUUACUAGAGAAGGGUUUUCAUGGUCGUGAUCGUUGGAGCUAGUGGAAGGGUUUUUGUUUUGGUCACUACUAUUAUUUGUGGCUUUGCACGAGACAGCUUGUAAAUUGGAAUGCCUAGGGUUUCCAAAUGAGGAUAUUCGGUGAUACUUUUGGGAGAAAGGGGAGAGAGAAGUUGUGGGGAUGAUACUUGUGGCGGAGGUGACGAGUGGAGCUGACAUAGAAGCCAUGGUACUUGACUCUGAAUAAUACGUUG